rnacentral:lncRNA from 1 species
CCUCAAUGUGCGGAAGAACUCAAAGGCAAUCUUAUCGACCUCCAUGCACCAUUGUGUCAGGUUCUGAUUCUUUUAUCCGUUGUCCUUUCAUUGGGUGUUGCAUUGUGGACUAUUGCUUUCUCUGUUUUCUCCUAUAGUAGAAACAAUAGUUGUCUCUAUCACCAGUCCACAUCAGCUUAUAUUGUCUCUAAAUCGUUAACGACUGUCCCUCACACUCCAUGCUAUGUUGGUUGUUCGUUUGCCUAUACCCACAUCACUUAUAUCCCAACGCGUAUCUUAAAGAAAUACCUGUACUAAGAAUUGUAGAUGUGCUCAAGUUGUAUGUUCAAUGAUAGUUUAUAGUUGAGUCAUGAAAGUGUUCAGGUUAUACUUUCAAUACUUGGAUAUAGUAGGACGAUAUUGCUUUUCAGCUAUUUAUGAAAAUGUCAUUCCUUUUUGCCACCACCUUUGCUUUUGGGCCGUUACCAUCCUUCAAACCGGUUUACUGGCUCCACGUGUUAGUUUUUUUUGCCAAAAAGACAAACUUGUCUUUUCACUAUUGGUCUUCUCCCUAAUCUCAGAAGAUGUAAGAAGUUUCAAUGGAGUAAUGAAAUUUUGAUAAUUAGUCCUAAGUAUUGGCAUAAGCAGAAUUGCAGGUGCGACUAGUGGCAUUGACAUAAAAUUGCUGCACAUUAUUUUUCUUCUAAAUUUUGAGCACUUUAUUGUUAAUACGUAGUGAUGGGGGCUAUCAUUGUUGGCACUUCUGAUGUUAUGUUUACAUCCCCCAUUAUAAAACGACUCAACCUACCAACGUCAUAUAAAGCAUAGGAUUUUCAUCUGGUUGGUGAUGGACAUUAAGUAUUCAAGUGCUAUGCAGUUGUAUAAUUGGUGUAUAUAGAAGAUGUUUUCUUAUGCUGGAUGUGGAUUAUACAUAUCACAAGUUCUCAUCUCAAUUAACCUGCCGGUGCAGGAAGUGCAUGAGUAUUAUGAAGCUAAGUUGGCUGAGUUUGAGGCAUCGAGGGAAGAAUGUAUGCUAUUUGCAAAAUAUCAUUAUCAGUAUGACCUGCUAAGUGCACAAGCGAAGUUUCGGGAUGAGCUGCGUGCACUAAUUAGACCUGAAAUUGCUGAGAUUGAAAGAGUGAUGAUGGAACACGUGGCAAAGGCUAACGGUAGCUUGGUGUUGAUGAAGGAGCAGAUCAAGAAGAUGGCUGAAGAAGACAUGGCGACAACGGAGCAUCUCAUUGGAUACUUGGAACAGACUUGCCAUUGCCCUUGUCUUUUUCCUACCCUACCCAAGCUACCCAUAUGACCCUGCUGAUCAAAGCUGAUGAAUGGUCAGUUUUGUACCACACAUUAUGUAUUUGUACUUCAUCAUAUGUACUGGGAUGUACCAGGAGUCUGGUUUUACCUCAUCAUUUGCCAAGAACAUGGCAGCUGGCGCUAGCGUCAACAAGUCUUCCUGUGUGGAGAUGUGGUGUGAACACUAAGUGUGUUUCAGACAGUCGAAAAUAUGUGGUACUUGCUUCUUUCAAGGUAAACCAUUGGUCUGCUUAUUACCUCGGUCUUCUAUUUUUGAGUUGCUUGAUUUUAUUUAUAUAUAAAUUUCAGUCAAGCACACAACUAUAAUUGCGUACCACUAUGUCUAAAGUUCUGCCCCAUACUCAAAAUGCAGUUAGCAACAUGAUGUUACUUGCAUGUGCAGUGUGGUGGCUGAAGAAAGAGAAAGCAAUAUUUUUUCCCGACAAAGGAUAAUAUAUUAGUAUCAAGAUGAUACCAAUCCCAUCUCGCCGAGACAUUGAGGAUGCAUAUAGACAGAAAAAGAAAAUUAGAACAUAAAUAGAGUAGGUGACCAACGACACAGAACAAGCAAACAAGCAUCAACACCACCCAUCACCCUUGCCACUGUGUUUUGAUUUUCGGUUUGUGUUUUUUUUCGUCCUUGGCCGAAAUGGCCGAAUUUCGGGAAUUUUAAAUUUUUCGGCAAAAUCUCGGACGAAAUUUCAAAAUCAAAAUUUGAAAAUUUGGCCAAAAUUUGGCCGAAAUUCGGCCGAAAUUCAAACAAGAUUUGAAAUAAAACAGGCCACAAAUAUAGCAGCGCAACAACCAUCAGGUUUGAUCAUGUAAAUUUCAGCAAAUAAGCUCUAGGGAUUAAUAAAACUGCAUCUGUCCAACAUAACAGGCACACAUUAGUUAUAAAGUGGCCUCCAACAUAACCCUUAACAGUCCAACAUCAGUUCAACCAUCACAGCAUAGUUCAGAGUUUAAAUAGUCCGGUACAGCCAACAGACUUAAAGUAUUACACAUAGAAACAACAGCUCCAAAAGGCAACUAUCAAAGUAUGACAUUGAAACAGCAGCUCCAAGCUUGCCUACAUCCAAAAGCUUCUUGAUAUCCUUAGUUAUUCUUCAAGUGCCAUUUAUGGUUUAGAGAAAACAGAGGAAGGGUCAGGAUGGAGGUAGUUCUGCAUCGGAAUUAUCUUCUGCCACUUUGUGCAUUAAAAAUAAAAUGGACUAACAGGACAAGUGGCUAGUAGAACAAUAGUCAAAUUUAUACAUGCUCAUGAAUCAAAUAACAAAUCUACUACAGCAAUAUAGUUUUUUAUUCACCAAAAAGCUUCAGGAGCAAAGGUUAAAUGCCUCCAUAUACUAGAAUGAUGAAUUCUAGUUUACAGUUUUUACUCGAGCACAACAAAACUCUAAGGAUACAAAGAAAACAACAUAGACACAAACAGCCCACUGUUGGCUUGGACUAGCCAUUUGUCAAUUGUCAUACAAAAGGAAAAUCAGGAUGGAUGUAGUUCAACAUCAGAAUUUUCUUCUUCCACUUUGUGCAUAAUGAAAUAAAAUGGACUAACAUGGAGGUGUCUAGUGCAACAAUAGUCAAGUGGUAACAUUUCAGGAUAACAUAAAUACAUUGCUUAACAUGACAACGAAGGCUAGGCAUGGAUAGAAAGUGUAUACAUCUAAGAAACUAGCAGCUCCAAGUAACUAAAAUUUUCUAAGCAAUUAUCAUGAAUCAUAAAACACUAGAAAGAAGAGACUUGCCAACAGAUUUCUAAGCAACAGGGUAUAGGCUGUUGACGCCCUUGGUCUUCUUCUUGACAAGCCGUACAGAUCUACGGGUCUCCAAAUUGCCAUCUCUUGGAGGUGCGUCCUUUUCCACUUGAAUUUGUGUCUCUUUUUCCACUUGCAUUUGGGCCUCUUGCUGAUCAUGCAUGGAUGGAGCAUCUUCCCCAUCCUCACUCACCCCAUCAUUAUCCUCACUCUCACUAUCAACAAAUACAUUCUCUUCAAAAUCACAUGACAAAAGAACAACGGUCAGUUAUGAAGAGUAGGUAACUAGAGAAGCAACCCUUGCUUACUUGGGUGUCCUCACAUGAAUGAGGAACAAAAACAGUACAGCUUAAUGCUCUAGUUUAGAUACUAAGGAAUAAGUAAUUUAACUACAACCUGAUGCUCUAGUUUGCCAAAAAGACAAGUCAAAAAUAAUAAUCUAUUCUUGAGAAAGAUACUGCGAAGCUUAGUUCUAGAACCACCACUUAAUGGUACCGCUGAACAUUGAAAUUAACCAUCGGUCAACAUCUACUUAGUUAAAUACACAACACAACUGAAUUAUUAUUGGACGUACUGUAGAUCUAAAUAAAUGAUCAAUUCAAACAUGAGAUGCUUCUGCAAACAUACAAGCGAGUGGUUGGAGGUGAUGAAAAAAACUUUAAUAUUGCACACAAGCAUCAUCUCAACAGCUCAAAAACAAGCACACACCCCAGAUCUAUGGAACGAUUAUAUAUUUUAGGAUGUUCAGAAUAACGUUUGUAACCCACUUUUUUGUUGGACCAAAAUAAAUAGUACCAGAUCGUGAGCAUCCUUAGUGAAUACCAGAUGCAUGUGUGUUUCAGAUUAUAUACCAAACCAAAACAUUGUGAGACUCCUUGGUGACUACCAGAUGCAUGUAUAUUUCAGAUUAAUAAUCUCACUGUUGUACGUUCAACUCAUCAAGACUCACUUUUUCUUAACCCCGUAUGAUAUAUGCAUUUGCCGAGCCAUUUACCAGGGACCUCUCCUAAAUCUAAAGCAGCACAAGCAGACACAGAUUAUAACCAAGAAACAAAGCAACAUCGAUCUGAAAUUGCUCAAGAACUGAAACUGCAUACACGUACUGAAACUGCAUCAAGAACAUUUGUACCUUUCCAGUCAAGCGGACGCCCUCCAUGCUGCUACCGCUGCCCCGUGCUACUGCCUCUGUUGAACUGGUCGGCUCGCGCUCCAUCAGCUCCGUUGCCGCAGCCGCCGAGCACCAUGCUGCAGUCUUGGAGAAGGGCCGCAGCUGCCGAGCUCCGUUGCCGCAGUCUUCGACAGGAAGUGGAUGGGGUGGAGGCGAGGAGAUGUGGAGGAGGGCCGGAGAAGUGAGCGCCUUGGCCGGAGAUGUCGAGGAGGGCGAGGAGAUGUGGCCUGUGCGCAGCGGCGGCGCCGCACAUAGGAGGACGGACAGGGAAAGAGCGAUUUAGGGUUAGGUAGCGUGGGUUCGUGGUUUGUCUCAGCGGAAGCCUAACUGGAAGGCUCUCGAAGCUGGGCCGGGCAAAAAAAUUCAAACUGGGCCAAAUUAUUCGGCCGAUAGGCCCAUAUAUCGGGCCCUAGCGAGACGGCCGAAAUUCGGCCGAAAUUCAUUUUUUUCGGCCGAAAAUCAAAACGCGGCCUUGCCAACACAUGAACUACGAAACAAUUCUCCAACAGCAACACCUUCAAGAUGGAAAAGCAACAAGUCUAAUUUGUUCUUGAUUCAGAAGCUUAGGGCAACUCCAAUGGGGAGCACCAAAUAGAUGACACCAAAUGUCAACAGACAUCUCGGGCGGGGUGUCGACAAUCCAGCGGUAGUCAUCAAAUUAGGAUAGUGCGUUAUGACUGACAGUGAGCUUGGUGGACUGAGAGGAAAAAGAGCCAAGCGCAACACAUCGGUUGCGGGUAGAUGUGGUCCAACUAACAUUGGGUCGGGAGGAUGCCCGGACGCCCCCACACCUUCCACGAAUUUGGUGAUCAGUCCAGAUAAAUUAGAUGCCUCCCAUCAGAUGACUUUAAGUUCCCGAACCAUCCAGUCCGAACAUUUGCGAGUGAUUUCAUGAGCCGUAUUGAAGUUUCCCUCAAAGUAUGUUCACUUAUUUCAAGUAUAACUAGAAAAUUUACACCAGAGCGUUUCUGAGGGUGAAUCAGUUUGAAUUUGAUCAAUACAUUGCCUGUAAAGUAUGUGUUUGCACAUGCCCUAUAGAUCUACCCGUUGUGUACUAGAGAUUUGAAAACGAUAUUAAAAGAAAAAAUGCUUCAUCAUAGUAAUCAUGAUGAGGCAACCAGUCUCGUGUAGCACCGGUCACUUCACACGUGUGUCGCCCCACCUACCCAGCUUAUGACACCUGGCCUACCGAACCCAAGCGGGAGCAGAAGAUUGCUUUAUCCCUUCUCGAUCUUUCUCAUACAUCCAUUUUUAUCUAGAGCGCCUUCUUUCCCAACUUUCCUCUCAGACGCUAGCAUCGGUGCAACUUUCUUACCGAGCACCUUCUUCCCCGCUCAAUCCCAUCCCACCUCGUACUCUAGCAAGUCCACUGCAGUGUCUUGAUUUCAUGUCCAUGCUCGCCCCCACCCUCGUCCUUCUCAUGGCCGACGAGCCGCCUCCUCACCUUUCCUGCCCACUUCGAGCGCAUCAGCAUGAACAUAUUCUACUGGCAUACAUACUCUGCAUAAUAAAGGCCUUACCAGCCGCAAUAUGCCUCGCCUCCUGGAUCUCUCGGCGAGCGUCCUGGGCAUCAGCCUGGGCUUCCUUCAAGCUCUCAUGGGCUUUGGUGAGCUCGGAAGCCUAUUCCGAGCUCGUCUACUCCAAGCACUUGCAUCUAGCAAUGGUGUCUUGGAGCUCUAUUUCAACCUCACCCACCCGCGCCUCAUGGCGUUGGCGGGUGGUCUUCUCCUCUUCUAAGCUUUCGGACGCCUUGUCUGCGGCCGCCUUGCUUGCCUAUGCCUCCUUCUGGGCUUCCGCAAGGGCGCUUUUGAGGGACUCGACCUCAUAGGCGCCAACUGUGGGCACAAUUAAAACAUUUUUAGUCUGUUUCAAACCAUCAAAACAUCCACACUUGGAGAUAUAUACUCAAUGUAUGGAUACCUUGUAUCUCCUCAAACCGCUUAUUAAUGUGGACAACCUCUUCAUCGGCCAGCCGUAGCUUCCCAGUAAGUUCGGAAACUUCGGCAGAUUGGGCGCUCGCCGCAAGCAAGGAAGCCUGUUGUACAAUAGAGUGUCACCUCUCCCGAACACUAAGUGGUCCUCUGUCCGACUUAUUCAAAACCAGACAGAGUCUCAGGGGCUACUAUCUAUACACAAGCAUAUUUCCUUUAUUAAAAUUGGUUAGAAAAUUACAUUACAUACCUCAAAGCCUGUUAAUAGGCUGGUAGAGGCUUCGUUCAGCCUGCUUUUGGCGAACUGAAUCUUCUCAGCCACCAUACCCAUCAGGGUAUGGUGCUCCUCCACGACGGAGGCGCAGCGAAGUGCUUCCGCCAAAGUAUCCGGCGCCUCCAUACUGAUGGAGGCCGCCGGUGGAGUCGACGUUCCCCCCUCCUUCAAAGGGGUCUCUUGCCUGAUUUCAGAAUCGUAUGGGUCUCCGGAACAGUGUUCGGCUGGGGGCCGGAUUGGUCAUGGCCUCCAUCACCAGUCUCCAUGGGGGUUGGCCCUCUCCUGUCUUCGGCAGCCGGGGUUUUACCCUCUGGCGCCGUCCUGACAGCCUCUUGCACCUCUCCAUGGCCUUGAGAGGCUCUUCGGGAAAAGGCUUCGAUGUCAUCCGGAGCGGUAGGCGGGGAGGCCCGCGGAGGCGUCUCGCUCUCCACCAUCACUAGCUCUAACGAAUUAACCGGUGACGAUAUUUGAGGGAGAUCACGUGCCGGACUAAAACACACAACACAACAUGUUAAAAACAAUAAUUAUAAACGCUGAUGUAUGUAAGGAUCUGGAGAUACUUACGAUUCAGCUAGGGGCUUCGACCUGGGGCAGUACUUGGGGAUGACUUCGGCAUACGAAUCCGAGUCGUUCGGGAGGGAUACUCUCCCCCUUUUGGACGCCUCCGUUUCAGGGCCUACGGAAGCCGCCCUUUUCUUCCUCCCCCCUUAGGGGAAGAAUUGCUCUCUUCCUCCUCCUCCUUUUCGUCUUCAUCUCCCUCGUUGGAGGAGAGGGCUUCGGACUCCCCGGACAUAGUGUCCGAGGGACCUUUACUGCGAGGGCCGUUUUUGGCCUCCUUGCCCUUCUUCUUGGUCUUCUUCUCCGGCACCUGGUACGGCGCCGAAACCAGCAUCCUCGUCAGCAGAGGAUCAUCGGGGUUUUCGGGCAGCAGAGCCGGACACUUGAUCCGCUCCGCCUUCUUCGUCCAUCCCUGUUUUAAAUAUGAGAAUCUCAAUACACCCCUGUGAUUUCCGAACCACUAUUAGGAAAAGGCCUACUAAUGGCGCACCGGUUUUGCCUACUAAUGGCGCACUACCGGUGCGCCAUUAGUAGCACGCCACUAGAAUUUUUUACUAAUGGCGUACCAAGCAGUGCGCCAUUAGUAUGUAACACCAUGCGCCAUUAGUAUGCCUCCCGGGGGCCAUAUGUAACCAUGUGCUUUGUCAUACUAAUGGCGCACUCUGCCUUGAUGCGCCAUUAGUAUCCUUUGGCAUACUAAUGGCGCACUCUGCCUUGAUGCGCCAUUAGUAUGAAUAUUUGGUUUUUGUUUUUUGCUUUUUUGAUUUUUGCACAGGUUACAAAAUAUAUUAUUGGACAGAAUAUAGACAGAGCACACAGCAACAGCAGAUUCAUCGAAUACAAUAGAAGAUUAGUCUCCGAAUACAAUUCCUCAUAUUAGUCUCCGAAUUCAAAAGACCGAACAAAGAUAAAAUAUUACAAGUGUCAAGACCGCGAGUAUCGAGUUUGUCUUCACAUUACAAGUCGAUAUCGAUCAUCUAAACUACCAUCACAUAAAAGAGAGUUGCGGUCAUCACGAUGAGCAUCAUCGCGAUCAAACUGGUCUUCAUCCGGUUCCUCCAACGCUCCCUCCUCUCUCCCGCUAGAUAGCGGGCGUAUCUAGAUUCGGCCUCCGCCCUAGUGGUGUACCCUUUGUAACUGUUACCGCUGAAACGGUGAACCUGUCUCCGACACUCCUCCCAGUCGUCGUAGACUCCGGGAACCUUACCCUUGUACACGACAUACGACGACAUCUCUAUGCACAAGCCAAACAAUAGACAACAGACAAUACAUAAGCAAUAUGUAAGUAUGCAACAAAAGGAUCGGAAGAGAAAAGCAAGACAUUAAUAGCACGAUUCAUGAUCCUACUAAUAAAUAGCAUCGAUUACAUCUAAGUUGAAUGACUGUCCAAACCAAAGACACAUACGAAUUCAUUAAAGUUUAAUUACAACAUGAGCCAAUCAAUGUUUCAGAACUACACAUCAUUACUUUCGACUCGACUCAUCGGACAGGAGCGUGGAUGAAGCCGUCGUCUGUUGUGAUGGUCAUGAAAUCGCGGUCGUUGUCACCCUGCAUUUGUAGCGUUCCAUCUAUCUCAUUGUUGGACGGUUGAUAUCUGAGGUAGAACUGCCCCGAGGUAUGAAGGACAUCUUGAUGGAUGAUGUCCGCAAACUCCGGCUGGAUGCGAAAGAAUUCUUGUCUGAGGUCCGCGUCCUGGAUUGCCGACAACCUCGCGGCCCAAUCUUUGAGACUAUCUGGUAGCAGAAGUUGAUGAUGGUCCCUUACAAUCGCCCGCAUGUGAUGGAGGGCGUAGUAGGCAUCCUUCUGACCGCCAGGCGGCUGCUUGACGCAGCAGAAAUUCGUAUUGUGUGAGAAGGUGUGCUUGCCAUACUAACGAACUGCCCUGGUGAAGGUGCCUCCAGAUUUGGCGUAGCCGGGGAGAACAUCAUCAAGAACUUUCUUGACAUUUGUGUAGUCUAUCUUGGAGUUACGGUUCGGGUCGAAAUACGUGGCCAUGGAAUAUUUCGGGCUUAAGAGGAUGAGUGUGCAAUGUGUGUCACUGCACAGAACAUGGAAUGUUCGAAAAAAAAGAACAAUCAAAAUCUAAGAAAUCAUAUGUUACGGGGCGGUUAAGGGAUGACUUACUCGGGAAAGUAAGCGACAAGGAAGUUAUCCUUAUCUGGGUUUGCCAGAAUGACGCCUUCGAGGUGUGAACUUGCAACUUGGCGGUCCCCAAUGCUGCUCAAGUGCUUGGCACGCAUGUAGAAGGGGUCGACUAUCACGAUGUCUGGGGUCUUGUCUCUAAUGAUCCGCAUCUCCAUACUCAGCGAAAACAGCCGAACGAAGGUGUAGUGCAGCGGAUGAAGGUUAAACAUAGCAAAGAUGUCAUCAAACCGCAGGACGAUCGUACCCCCGAUGUCGCCAUCCACAAAGCCCUUGCCCUCUGGCACCUUGGCCACGAAAACCGGGUAUGCCACAUCAUUCUCUCUGAGACGCCGCUUCUCCAAAGAAAGAACACUGUCGUGCAGACUCCGCAUAGCACCGGUUGCAGCAUUCAGCAUAUUUGGCGGUAGCAUCGCCCUACCCGCCACAUGCACCCUCCUCGAGAUAUCCUUAGGUGAAGGUGGCCCGUCCUGAGCACGGAUCAAAUUCGGUGCCGGCUGGCUCGCACCGGCGCCCUUGUUAGUCUUUCGCUUCCGUCCCUUCUUCUUGAUCUCCUGUAAUGGGACCGAGUUCUGCUCACAGACCGCCUUCUUGAGCGUGUUGGGGCUGAUAAUAUUUUGCACCUCAGCUAUCUGAGGCUCGGUGAAGGCGGGAGCUGGAGGCGUGUCCUGAGAACUGAAUGGCAGACGACGCCUGUUGCAAUUGGAUUUCUCCGCCGUACCAGCUAGAUCACGGUCGUCUUGGUUGGGUUCUUGAGAAAGAGGCCCGCAGAACUCGUCAGCGUACCCAUGUUCGGCAAAGUACUUAUCAACUUUGGUAAAUGUCCCAUCGUCGUUGUCGUCGCCGUCCGGAUCCUGUGCCAUAGGGUUGUCCGGAUCCUGUGCCAUAGGGAUGUCCGGCAGGUCCGGUAGCGUUGCGGCGUUCUUGCCAUGGCUUGGCGCCGGCACGACUGGCGGUCUUGUCUGUGGGGUGAUGUCCCCCGCCCCCAAACGAAUCUGGCUCUUCGGCCAAAGCAGGGGCCAGUUUACGCAGGCGCUGAGGGUCAUCUCAUCUUCUUCAUCGGCCCCAGCGGGUCGAAUCGGAGGUAACAGCUCGUCGCAGCCUGGCAGCACCCGAACCACUUCAACCCUAUACAUUGUGGGUGCCAUCGGAUUACCGUGGAACAUGCGGUUGCCCGGUUGAACGAUUCUGCCCUUGGCGACAUCGACCAACUCGGCGCCCACGAAGUGCAGAAGAGUGCAAGGAACGUCGACGGCGCCCUGCGAAAACAUGUACAGGGCGUUAGGGAUGCCCAGUCAAAGGCAAGGAGAUGAAGUCAUCGGCCGAGAGGCUUAGUUACCGUGAUGCCGUUGAGCUCGGCUAAUGUCGAGGCACCGCCAACGGCGGGCGUGCCACUGACGGAGGGGGCGCUUGCUGGCGAGGUGCCGGCCGGCGUACGCCCAGGUGCAUUAAGCUCCAAUGCAUGUGCCGGCGCCGGAGACACGAAUACCGCCUCCGCCGGAGACACCAAUGGUGCCGCCGGAGACACCAAUGGCGCCGCCUGCGCGCUGUGCGAGUUGCUGGCCGUGAAGCUGGGAACCGGGGGAGGCCCCUGUUGGCCGCCCGCAAUCCACGUCGUCAUCCCAUGAAUCAACGUAGGCACCAUGGCGUUGAGCUUCGUUCCCAGUUGUUGUUCCACUUGCUCUUGGACAAGCUCCGGAAUCCGCGCCACUUGUGCCUUGAGUUCUUCAACCUCGCGCGUCUGGCUUUCCGAGCUGGUCUUUUUCUCCUUCCGCACACCAGCGGUAUAGUAUGACCCCCAUUUUGUGGACAAGCCUUUGCCGGCCACACGACCAGCUGACGUCGGCUUAGUGAGCUUAUCCUUGUUUUUCAUUAUGUUCAAUGCCCUAUUUAAAGGGGUGUCGAAAGGGGAGCUCUAAGACGACCCCGCGCUACUGCUUUCAGUGUCCUGCGAAAGGAAUGUGAACCAUUGAGAAAUAUUGGGGAUUAAUUAGAGUGCAACCAUAUGGAGCUAAUUACGCGGGGGUGUAUUCCUUACCAGAACAAGCUCAAGCGCCCUGGUCUUCGGAUCCGUGGUAAGCUCCUUUGUUUUCGGGUCCUCCUUGUACCGGGCCCUGACAUAGUUCCUGGUCUGCUUGUUACCGUUGUAUUUCUUGAAGCGGGGCGGUAGGCCUUGCUCGGCACGCUCCGUGUCCUCCUUGUCCCAUAUAGGCUCCGCCACUCUGUAACCACUGGGACCGAGUUUGUGUUCCCCUAAGUUCAACUCCCGCAUUUCUUUCCCCCGCUGACUUGAUUCGGAGGUUGCACUGCUCUCGCACUUGAUCUUGAACUCCUUGUACUCAUCUUCGUUCAUCAAAGGAUAUUUCGCCUUGAUAUUCUCAUAACUAUCACCUUUAUCAAUCAUUCUCUUCACCGCACUUCUCCAAGUAGAUAGGGCCAUGCUCAUCUUCGUGAGGGCGGCACUGUUCACUUUAUUCCCUGAGAGGCGUGUGUUUUCAAAUUCGGCGGGGAACUUGUAUCGUUCGCGCAGCUUUGUGGAGAGGAGGUUGCGCAAAUUCCCUCGGUCCUUAUGCCUAAGGUUCUCGGUGUUGAUCGAGAUGGUGCUCCGGAGAAUGCACCCGAGCUGAACCGAGUACCCCUUGACUAUAUGUUUGGGCUCUGUUGGAUUCCCGUCGGAGUCCACUUGAGUGAAUUCCUCCUUGAGGGUGUGGAGCGCAUUCGGCUGCCGGUCCUUCCUUUGCUUCUUCGGUUGGCUGCCAUCUGUGUGUGCACCGCCAUCAUCAGUGGUGGCAUGCUUGGCGGCACCAUCACUGGUGUCAUCCCCGACGCCACUAGGGGUUGUGUAAUCAGGAUCGGUGUCUUCUGCGGCGUCCUCAUAGCGGUGAGGUUGUUCCUCCAUCUCCUGGGACAGCUCCCAGAAUUGCUUGCCGCCCGAACCACCGGCCUCAUCGUUGUGGGCCAUGUUUUGCUCUAAAUAGGAAAAAAAUUGGUCAAAAAGUUGGUUAUUGUCAAGGAACAAGAUCAUGGUCUCAUCAUUUAGGGUUUGUCGACACCGAGGCACCCUAAAAGCCUAAGCUUUCAUCAUUUAGGGUUUGUCGAUGCCGAGGCACCCUAAAAGCCUAAGCAUACAUCAUUUAGGUUCUCAUCGACACCGAGGCAUCCGGGGCAGCCAAGUUAAGUUUUCAUCAUUUAGGGUUUAUCGAUGCCGAGGCACCCUAGGUUGGGCCUAAUCACUUGGCACUAAUCACUUGGCUCUAUUGCCACCUAUGUUGGGUUUAUCAUCUAGGGUUUAUCGAUGCUAAGGAGAAUUCUAAGUUGGGCCUAAUCACUUGGCUCUAUUGCCACCUAUGGUUUAAUGCAGCAAGAAUAAAGGGGCAGUUGAUCCUACUUAAUUAAGUACUAAGAUACCCUGGCCCAUGCAUUAGUCGCAAGUACGCCAUAUGUCCUACUUUUAGCAAAAUCAUGCUAAAAUUCACGGAAAAUUUCAGCACGACCUUUGCUGAAAAUAGGACAUAUGGAGUACCCGAAUUUGCCGGAACGGAAGUUAAUCAACAUUCCAGCAAACUCAAGGGCCUCUCGGGGUACCUGCAAAUUCAUCACGACACGAUGGUCGGAGACAAAACCCAGCAAACUAGCACCACAAUGUGCCUUUACUUUCAUAUGGAUGAAAAGGCCACAGACCAUAUGGUCCUCUGCUUUCAUAUCGACAAAAAUCAGCUCAACUUAUGUGAGCUUCCAUUCCAGAUCUAAUAGCAGCAAGUUGUUCACUUGUAGCUGAACUUAUGUGAGCUGCCUUCAAGAAAAGAAAUCUGCAGUGGCACAUCUGCUCUCUGAAUACAUUGGCAAGAAACAAAACAACACCUAGUACCAUCCAUCUGCUAUGGCCGUAUCAUGCAGUUUAACUAAGCACUAAUAAGUAAUUAUAUAACUGAAAACUUGGCGCGUACGUGUCACUUAGCUUGGGCAAGCAACAUACCUCGUCCUCUUGGUUAGUCCAAACAAGCUGUAUGCUGAGCCUCAACUCACCACCUGCACAUUUUACAACUCCCAUGAAAUGAAAAAGUAAACAUAAUUGUCAACCAACAAAACCAAAACACAAACAUGACUUCAAAUUUUCACGAUCAGGAAGAAAAACAGGGUUUUCAACUACUAUAUUCAGUUUCAUGGCAUCAGUUGAACAGUUGAAAAAGAACAAGCUUCAUUUAAAUAUCUUGCUGCUAACAAACAUAACUAAUGUCAGUACUCAAAAAAUAGAGUGACCACACAGGGAACAAACAAACUAUUCACUUUUUAUUUCUUCAUAAUUGGACCAGACAGAGAACAACUCCUUGGAAGCAAACUGAAACCAUGCUGAAACUAUACCGAAACCAUGCUGAAACUUUACGAAACUACUCCUUGCAAUCAAACUGAAACUACUCCUUGGAAGCAAAUUGUCUUGGAAGGAGUAUUGUGUGCACAAAUCUACUCCAACUAGUUGCUUUCACUUAGAAAUUGUUAGCACAAACAGCAUGAGUCAUUCUUCAGACCGUUACAAAUAGAAACAAUGGCAACCAAGGUUAAAAACCAACAAUCCUAUAUAUUAUUCUGAAAUUUGAUAUAUUGAAAUCACUUAGCACUCUCUUUAUGUGUUCAUUCAACACUUAAAAUUGAGGAAAAUAAUACCAACUAGGAUCGGUAUGACCUUCAUUUUUCAUUUUCUGUAUGAUCAAUUAAAUCUUCUGCAAGCUUAUAUGAAAAGGUUCAGCCACUUGAAACGUAACUCUUGCUUGGUGUUCCAAAUCAUUUCAUUUAUAUUUUAAAUAACAGUAAGAAUUAUUUCAUAAUAGAAUUUACCCGAUGGGGGCGGCGGGUGCGUGCGACAGAGGGGGGAACGGGUGGGGGUGGAGGAGGCUCACCACUAUUGCAAACCAAACAAGUAAGCAGAGCACAUGUAUAUACCUGUAUCACUGUCUUGGAGCCAACAAACGCCUCAAUUUUUCUCCAACCGUGAUCGAACCUGUUACGCAGAAACACAAACAGAGAGAUACAUGUAACUAACGAGGACAGACAGACAAGGUAACAAGAACUCCACAACUCAAUUAAGCCUACGCUUCUUCUUUCACUCUCCUGCAUAAAGUUAUUGUUACUACCUGUGAGGGAUUAUAUGCUUGUUUACCACUACUAAUACCAUUUUUUAAUAUAAUCUUCAUUCUCCUGCUUUUUCUUUUCUUACAAGUGUUGAUGCCAAAACAUUGCAACCCUGUAGUUCAAGAUCAGAGUCAAAAUUGACCUACAUGAUUGUUUACCACUACUAAGACAUGGAUCUAAUAGCUAUCUCCCCCCUUGUUCCUCAUGCCUUAGUUGCAUUCAGAGAAGAGAGAGCUCAGAUCCUAGAACAGGGCCGGAUCUCUCUGGAAGAUAUGUGUUAACCAAUUUCGACCAGUAUAACCAACACAAAGCUCCUGCUCUCUCAAAUUGCAGAUAAAACAACUUAAUCUACAAUUUGCUAACAUGUUUAAACCAAAACAUUUGCUCAUGAAAAAUAUUCAACCUACAAUUUGUAAACAUUUGCCCUUAGAGGCAUUAUCACAAACACCUAUCAAGCACAAUCCUCUAAAAUCACGCAGCAAGCAAGAAAUAACUAUCAUUAUAUUCCCACUGUAUCGAAUCUACAUCAAGUACUCAUCCACUAAAAAAAUUGAACCGAGGAUGCAAGAGGAAGGAGGGAGGGGGGAUGAGGGAAGAGGGAGGAAGGACGAAGGAGUGGUGGCUACCUGCCUACGGACUGGUCGCCGGUGUAGCUCCGGGCGGCAGCGUUGCUGGGCAGGAGCGCCUGCUCCAGGGAGGGGGGCGCCGCUGGUGGGAGCGACUGCUUGAUGGGGGGAGGCGCUGCUGGGGUCCUAUACCGGAGGCGGGGCAGCGGAGGGUUCGGCCGGCUGGGUGCGCCACGGCGGCGCGCCGGCAGCGGUGGCGGCGGCUAGGAACCCUAGCUGUCGCACUCGGAAGGGAGGUUGACGCAGGCGGGGCCGUGGGGGGAGGGGGACGGCGCGGGCGCGGGCGCAGGGGGGACGGUGAGGGAGGUGGCGCUCGGUGUUGGAAGCGAGCACGGCCGGGGACGGCGAGCACGGGGGAAGUGGUGGUCGGUGGUGGUCAGGCGCGGGUGAGAUGAGGCAGGGGAGGGAUUGGGGAUUUUAGUGUGGGGGAGGCUUAGCAAUGGCGCACCACCCAGGGGUGCGCCAUAAGUAAUUUAAUCUAGCCCGACUUGUCAGGUUAUAUACCACCUAACCCUAUCUACAACAGAACCUGCCCACUAGCCCGAGUGGUCAGUACGCAGCACACACCCCAGGAGGUCCUGGGUUUGAUUCCCAGGCUCCCCAAUAUUUGUUUAUGCAUUUUAAAUCCUGUUUGAUAUUUAUUUGUGUUUAAAUAUGUUCAAACUUGUUUAAAUCAUAACAGUAUUAUUUUUUUAUAAAAACAGUAAUAUUUUUUUAAAAAAUAUGUUCAAAUUUGUUACUUGAAAAUAUCAUCAACGGCGGCGGUGGAGCGNNNNNNNNNNNNNNNNNNNNNNNNNNNNNNNNNNNNNNNNNNNNNNNNNNNNNNNNNNNNNNNNNNNNNNNNNNNNNNNNNNNNNNNNNNNNNNNNNNNNNNNNNNNNNNNNNNNNNNNNNNNNGGGGAGGGUGCGGGGGGCCGGGUUCUCGUCGGCGGCGGUGGACCGAGGGAGGGUUGCGGUGGGUCGGCGACAGCGGUGGAGCUAGCGGGAGAGGGUGCGGGUGGGAUCGAGAUCGAGAUGGAGGGGGAAUCGAGAUCGAAAUGGAGGGGGAUUGAGAUCAAGUGUCCUCAUGAAUUCAAAAAGUGCCCAUGAAAUUUAAAAAUAUUCAUGAUAUCAAAAAGUGCCCAUGAAAUACAAUCGAGAAAUCAAGACUACGAUUUAAAUACAAUCGAUCUUAGCUAGCUAUCUGUUCACAAUCUUCUUGCCCUUCUUUUUCGCAAAUGGAGUUCUUCUGUGGAACGGACGUCCUUUAGGUAGGGUGGUCCUGCUUCUUCUUGUGGUGUGUGCUGCUACUUCAUCGUCGUCGUCAUGUUCGAUCUUCGGGUCGCCGUACUUGUCGAAGUCUUGCUCAUUGGCUACUCCAUCCAUUCCGAUGAUCUUCCUUUUGCCUCUCCUCACGACAACACGACUGGGCUUUGGCGGGUCGGUAAUGAAGAAGCAUUGGUCCACUUGGGAAGCCAGUACCCAUGGCUCAUUUCUCGUGGUGACGUUUACGCCCGCGGUCUUGGAUUUGGCUUCGGGUAUAACCAUGGUGGUGAAAUACCGGUCUUCUUUUAGGACGCUCUUGGCCCAUCUGACACGAAACAUCGGGACCUUCUCUCUAGCGUAGCUCAGCUCCCAGAUCUCCUUGAUCCUUCCGUAGUAUCUGUCCUUGUCGUUGCCGGUGUAGGAUUCCAUCGUUACCCCGGAGUUCUGAUAACCAUCGCACUUCAUGUCCUUGUUCUCGGUGUAGAAUGUGUAACCGUUGAUAUCGUAUGCCUCAUAGGUCAUCAAGUUGUGCUCGGCGCCCUGUGAAAAGGCGAAUAUGAGUUGUUCUUCCGCGGAAGAAUCCUCAUGUAAAGGGUACGACAGAAGCUUCUGCUUGAACAAACGCGUGAAACAUGAAUUGUGCUCUUUGAUUAUAUCUCCGUCCGUCCUCUGUUGGCGUCGGUCAUUGUACGUCUUCUCAAUAAAGGUUUUGUGCUCUACCACCCAAGGAUCGACCACGUCUAUGUGUUGUAGUGCGACUAGGUUUGCUCUUUCAAAGUCGGCGAGUCGACCCUCGAAGUCGACAUGCAUUUCGGGGCGACCCUCACGGUGACCCCAUCCAUCGAGCCUGCCGAGGUGCCUGUUGACGGGCAGACCAACGGGGUUCUCGAUGCCUAGAUAAUUCAUGCAGUAGGAGAUGCACUCUUCGGUUAGAAAGCCCCUGGCUAUACUUCCCUCUGGACGUGACAUGUUUCGAACGUAUCCUUUGAUGACACCAUUCAUCCUUUCGAACGGCAUCAUGCUGUGCAGGAACAUCGCCCGAGUUGGAUGAUAUCCUCCACGAUAUGGACCAGCAGAUGCACCAUAACGUCGAAGAAUGCGGGCGGGAAGUACAUCUCAGGCUCGCAUAGUAUCACCACGAUCUCUUCCUGUAGCCUUCUGAGUUGCCUCACACCAAUGGACUUCUGAGAGAUGACGUUGAAAAAGUUGCAUAGGCCAAAUAGCAUUUCACGGACGUGCGCGUUCAUGAUCCCACGGAUUGCAACUGGAUGUAUCUGCGUCAUCAGCACGUGAUAGUCGUGGACUUCAUCCCGCUGAACUUCUGCUUCGCUGGGUCUAGGUAUCUGCUUAUCUUCCCCGCGUAACCGUAAGGAAGUUUUACUCCUAGGAGGCAGGUAAAAAACUGCUCGAUCUCCUCCUGACUUAGAGUGAAGCAUGCGGGAGGGUAGUCAUUUCCGGUCUUCUUGGCCUUUUUGCCUUUGCGACGACUUUCUGUGUCCUGCUUCGCCUCAUCAUCAUCAUCAUCAUCAUCAUUAGCGUGAAGCUCCUGCCUGAUGCCCAUUGAUUUCAAGUCUGCCCUUGCUUUUGGCCCAUCUUUGGUCCUCUCUGACUUGUUGAGCAGGGUACCAAGCAGACUCUCGCACAUGUUCUUAGUGAUAUGCAUGACAUCAAGGCUGUGAAGCACACUGUGGAUCUUCCAGUACGGCAAGUCCCAGAAAACAGACCUCGUUUUCCAUACCUUCAGCAGCGGCUCUGGCGCCUUUCGCUUCUUUCCCGGCUCUGGCGCCUUUUGCUUCUUUCCCGACAGUGGGCAGUCUUUCCAAUUUUUUAACAGCUCGUCUAUUUCCUUGCCGCUCCUCGUACACGGGCGUUUUCGGGGUUCGGUUUCACCAUCCAACAGAUCCUUGCGUUUCCUCCACGGGUCAUCGUCGCAAAGCCACCUUCGAUGUCCCAUGAACACGGUUUUCGAAGACCCGGGAUCUCUAUCUAGCUGGCGAUACAUUGUGUCAUCCAUGCACCUUACGCAUCCAGAAAAUCCGUGGACUACCUGCCCCGCGAGAUAUCCGUAACCGAGAAGUCGUGCACCGUCGUGAGCAGUGCGGCUCUCAUAAGGAAAUAUUCUUUCUCUGCGGCGUCCCACGUAUUGGUUGGCGUUUUCCACAGCGUGUCUAGCUCCUCCUUCAGCAGCCCCAUAUAUAGAUUGAUGUCGUUCCCUGGUUGUUUCGGCCCUUUAAUUAGCAUACUCAUGUGAAUGUACUUCCUCUUCAUGCACAACUAGGGGGGAAGGUUGUACAUCCACACAAACAUAGGCCAGGUGCUAUGUGUGCUUCUCUGGCCACCAAACGGAUUGACUCCAUCGGUGCUCGCGCCCAGCACGAUGUUCCUUGGAUCCUUCCCAAAUUCUGGGUAUUCAAAGUUCAACGCUUGCCACUGGCUCGCAUCCUUAGGGUGACUCAGCAUCUUGUCUUUUUUAUUUAUCUCCGGAUCAUUUUCGUCAUCUUCCCGCUUUUUCUCCUCCCUAUCCGCGUGCCAACGCAGGAGCUUUGCUACCUUAGGGUCCGCGAAAUACCGCUGCAGACGAGGAGUGAUCGGAAAGUACCACAUCGAUUUUCGAGGAGCUUUCUUCCUCUUCUUGUAUCGAGUGACGCCGCACACCGGACAUAUGGUAGACUCCGCGUGCUCGUCCCAAUAAAUGAUGCAAUUUUUCCUGCACACAUGGUAUUUCUCGUGCGGUAAAUCCAGAGGAAACACGAUUUUCUUCGCCUCCUCGAAACUAGUCGGGCACUUGUUCCCCUUGGGAAGACGUUCGUGCCAGAAUGACAUGUUCUCGUCGAAGCAUGCGUCGGUCAUUUUGUGUUUUACCUUCAUCUCCAGAGCCAUGAGCGUUACUUUCAAGCGGGUAUCCUCGGGCCUGCAUCCUUCAUACAAUGGAGUAACCACGUCUAUCUCCAGUUGAUCCAGCUUGGCUUUCUCUCGGGCGGCAGCUCUUGCGUUAUCCGUCUGCUUGAGAAGCAGCUCUUGAAUAUGAGGGUCCUGCACCCGGCCUCCAUCGUCGUCUGCUCCGGCAUCUUCAUCUUCAUGAUCAUGCCCUUCGUCUUGAUCUUCCUCAUCAUCAUGUACGACAUCUUCUACAUGAUGACUGUGUACAGCAUCACCGCCGUGAUCAUGUCGUGGAGAUUCUUCGUCUUCUCGCCCGCCCUCGCCGUGGUGGUACUUGUCUUGUUGCCCUUCCUCAUUUCUUGCCCGCCCCCCAUGGACGACUUCAUAGUCAUAUUCAUCACCUUGCCACUGAUAGCCAUCCAUGAAACCACGCAAGAGCAGGUGGUCCCGCACCUGCCCGGAAUCCGGGUCCGCAAUAAGGCUCUUCAGCUUGCAUCUUCGACACGGACAUCUUAUCUCCGUCUCGUUCUUUUAAAGCAUCUCGGCCUUCGCGGAGCUCAAAAACCUAUUCACGAUGCCUUCCGUCAUCGUGCAGACCAUGGUGGCCUGCGGGGUAGAGCAAAACGAUAUUUUAGAACCAAGAAAAAAUUUGGCAUGACCUUCCCUAAAAAUAGGACCAAAAAGAAUGCAUAGUGCCAAAAUUCUUGCCGAAACGGAAAUGAAUCAACAUUCCGACAAAAUAUUGGCAACUAUCGCUUUUCAAAUGCCGGUACCUGCAAACACAAACAUAUAUGCAACACCACAAACACAUGCAACACCACAAACAUACAUAGAUCUAGCUAGGCCGCAAAAAGUGCAUGUGCACGUUGUUGGAGCGAGCUAGGGAGAAAAAAAGUAGAUCUACAUCAUGAAGAUAGCUUUCCCCUUACUUACCUAUCAAAAAAAGGUAAUUUCACCACUUAAUUUUGAUGAAUCUAUGGUGGAAAUGAGGUGAGGAGGAGGAGGCAGCCGAAAGCUUGGAGAAGGAGGUGGAGGGAAUGAAGUGGGGAAAGUGAGUGGGUAGGUAUGUGGCUGUCCAAAAUAUCUUGUUGGGGUCCCAGGUAACUAAUGGCGCACCACCAGCAAAUGCGCCAUUAGUAACCCUGGUUACUAAUGGCGCACCUGCAGAUGGUGCGCCAUUAGUAGUUUUAUAGAAAAGUAAAAAAAGAAAAUAUAUAUACUAAUGACACACUGUGGAAAAGUGCGCCAUUAGUAGUUUAAACUAGUAAUGGCGCACUGUGACACGGUGCGCCAUUAGUAGUUUUGCAAAAAAGUAAAAAAAAUAUACUAAUGGCGCACUGCCUGCCAGGUGCGCCAUUACUAGUUAGAACUAGUAAUGGCGCACUUCGACCCGAUGCGCCAUUAGUAUGUAUGGAAAAAUGGAAAAAAAAUUAAUACUAGUGGCGCACCGAGUGUACGGUGCGCCAUUAGUGUCUUCCACACUAAUGGCGCAUCAACAACCGGUGCGCCAUUAGUAUAAAGUAGUGGCGCACUGCUUACCUAGUGCGCCAUUAGUAUCAAUCCUAUCUAUAGCCCUUUUCCUAGUAGUGGACUAAGUUAUGUACGGAAACUAAAGAACUUAUCAGAGUGGCUGGGUGAGCACAGUCGAGGCCGAUGUCGUCAGUCGUCUCCGGCCACGACUUCUGCUUCUGGGCCUUGAAAAGUAGCCUCUAGAUAUCUUCGUGCGUCAUGCCGAAGAAUCGCUACAAGGUUUGCGGCCCUUUCGGAUUGAACUCCCACAUGUGGAGAGGCCGGUGUUGGCAGGGAAGGAUCCGGCGGAAUAGCAUCACCUAAACCACGUCGGUGAGGUCGGUGUUCCUUUCUAUGAUGUUUUUGACGCGCUUUUGCAACAUCACAACCUCGUCUACUAGCCCCGAGUCCAUACCCUUGUUUAUCCAUGACGCUAGCCGCAUUGGGGGUCCGGAUCUAAACUUAGGAGUGGCUGUCCAGUUGGCGCUGUGAGGUUCGGUGAUGUAGAACCACUCCUGCUGCCAUAUCUUCACAGUUUCCACGAAAGCCCCUUUGGGCCAGGUGACAUUGGGAAGUUUGCUCGCCACCGCGCCUCCGCAGUCUGCGUGCUCCCUGUCCACCACCUUUGGUUUCAGGUUGAAGGUCUUGAGCCAGAAGCCAAAGUGUGUGUGGGGGGGGGGGGAUGCGGAGGAGCGCAUCGCACACGACGAUAAACGCCGAGAUGUGGAGGAAUGAGUUUGGAGCUAGAUUUCCACCGUAAUAGAACAUGAGGCUGCGGACAAAAGGGUGAAGUGGAAACCCUAGUCCGCGGAGGGAGUGGGGGAUAAAUACCACACUUUCGUCGGGCUCCUGGGUGGGGAUGACCUGCUUCUUGGCAGGGAUCCUGUACGCGAUGUCCGUACUCAGGUACCCCGCAUCCUGGAGCUCAUUGAUGUCCUUCUCCCUCAUGGAGGAGGCUGCCCACUUGCCCUAAAAGCCGGAUCCGUACAUGACUGGAGAGGUUGGUGGCAGUGGGAAGUUUCUAGGCUCGGGCGCUAGAGCUCGGAGAUAGGGAGGCUGAGGAAGGAAGAAGGUGUGGGAUAGAAAAGAUGAAUCUUUACCCGUUUAUAUAAGCCGUGAAUACCAAACGCUCGCCUCCCUAGCUUUAAAACCUCGUCUGUUCCCGAUCUGGGUAUGCGCCGCAGUCGGCUGGAUUACCCAAAUAUCAUUGAUAUGCAAUCCCGUAUUAAGUGGGUACGCACUCUGUUUUGACGGGACGUGCCAAUGAGGCGUGGCCUCGAAACACGGAAUGCGGAGUCUGAAAACAGUUCAAAAUGCCAAAAGGUCAAGUCUGACGCUUCGCCGGAAAAGUUGUCAGUAAAAGACAUUGUUCUCAUUUUUUUUAUAUAUCCUGCCUUCGUGGCUAAGGGUUGUGUUUAUUGCAAAAAGCCGGAUACAAUUCUUUUACAGAGGAAAAGUCGAUGUGUAUUCCUUAAAGAACCCGCCUUGCAAUGUCGAAGACAGUCCGAGCGCCGAAUAUAUCAUCAUUGAAGAUUGGUUCAGGGGCUACUGUGUGAGUCCUGGAUUAGAGGGUCCUCGGGCGUCCGAUCUACUGAUGUGGGCCGAACUGAUGGGCCGUCAAUAUACAAGGCAGAAGAUCAUCUCUCGUGUUCGGUGGGGACUCUCACAUGCGUUGAUGGCAAGUAUAGGUGUCCGGAUAUAUUAUUCCUUUCUGUAUAACCGACUUUGUACAAACCCUAAGCCUUUCCGGUGUCUAUAUAAACUAGAGGGUUAGAUCGGAGGCAGAAUCAUAACAUUGCUAGGCUAGCUAUCUAGGGUUAGCCCAAUCAAUCUCGUGGUAGAUCAACUCUUGUAACCCCUAUACCCUCGAAUAUAAUCAAGCAGGAGUAGGGUUUUACCUCCAUUAAGAGGGCCCGAACCUGGGUAAACACUAUGUCCCUUCUCCACCGUUACCAUUGAUCUUCAGACGCACAGCUUGGGCCCCCUACCCGAGAUCUGCCGGUUUUGACACCGACAAGACUCCCCACACAUGGCGCGCACCCUAGGCCGGUAGCCUCCUCCCCUCCUCCUUUAUAUACGGGGUGGGGGGCACCCCAAAGCACGUCAGUUAUUCUCUUUGCCGUGUGCGGUGCCCCCUCCACAGUUUACCACGUCGGUCAUAGCAUCGUAGUGCUCAGGUGAAGCCCUGCCUUAUCACAUCAUCAACACCGUCGCCUCGCCAUCGUGCUGACGGAACUCUCCCUCGACCCUCUAUUGGAUCAAGAGUUCGAGGGACGUCAUCGAGCUGAACGUGUGUUCAACAUGAAGGUGCCGUACGUACGUUCGGUACUUGGAUCGGUUGGAUCGUGAAGACGUUCGACUAUAUCAACCGCGUUAACUAACGCUUCCGCUUUCAGUCUACAAGGGUACAUGGACACACUCUCCCCCUCUCAUUGCUAUGCAUCUCCUAGUUAGAUCUUGCGUGAUCAUAGGAUUUUUUUUGAAAUUGCAUGCUACGUUACCCAACAGAGGGAAUAUUUGUUCUGCCUUUAGCUCCUCGUUGGGUUCAACACUCUUAUUUAUAUAAGAAGGCUACAAACGAUCCCUUAUACUUGUGGGUUAUCAUUGUCUAACAGAAGCAUACUACAACAUGUUAAAAUCUAUAGAAAGAACUAACUAAAAAUAAUUAAAAGCAACAAUUAAAGGACUAAAACAACUAUAUAAGCAAAACAAUACUGUUUUAAUUAAAAUUCUAAUUUAAAUUAUUCUAAAAAUAACAAAAUACAUCUUACUGUGACAACAUUCUAACAUGUGACUAGGAGCAAUAAGAAUUAAAUUUAAAACUAUUUUAAACUCAAAUUAUUCACAAUCUAGGGUUUGGAGCAAAUUUGAACAGUUUCAAAUUUAAAUCAUUCAAAUUUGAAAACUAAUGGCACAAACAGAAACUGGACAAAAUUUUGAAUCUAAUGCAAUAAGAAUCACUCAAAAACAUCAAAUAUCCUAAAAGAUAUAAGCAAUUUAAAAUAGAAACAAAAAACAAUUGAAAAAACAAAAAAAAUAAACUUUCAGAACCCCUUUAGUCCUAGUUGGUGGCUCCAACCGGGACUAAAGUUAGACCAAAGCCACCAAUCGGGAGUAAAGGUUGGACCUUUAGUCCCGGUUGCAGACACCAACCGGGACUAAAUCCUCAACCCCUUUAGUCCCGGUUGGUGUCACCAACGGGACUAAAGGUCUAAUCUUUAGUCCCGGUUGUGGACACCAACCGGGACUAAAGGGCAUCACACCCUUUAGUCUCGGUUGGUGUCUCCAACCGGGACUAAAGGUCUCAUUUGAACCAAGAUUGAUGCCUGCCCGACGCCCUAGACGCUCGAACCGGAACUAAUGCUCACAUUAGUCCUGGUUCGUAAUGCAACCGAGACUAAUAUGUAGAUCGAGCUUGGACCAAAGCCCUGUUUUCUACUAGUGAUCGGGACACUGCAGAUGAGCUCGGAUCAAGGUGGGAGGGCUUGAGCCAUGAUGCUUGGGGAGGGUUCCUUGGCGACAACGACAGAGUUGGGCUAGAUGAAUCCAGAUAAUGAACCCUNNNNNNNNNNNNNNNNNNNNNNNNNNNNNNNNNNNNNNNNNNNNNNNNNNNNNNNNNNNNNNNNNNNNNNNNNNNNNNNNNNNNNNNNNNNNNNNNNNNNNNNNNNNNNNNNNNNNNNNNNNNNNNNNNNNNNNNNNNNNNNNNNNNNNNNNNNNNNNNNNNNNNNNNNNNNNNNNNNNNNNNNNNNNNNNNNNNNNNNNNNNNNNNNNNNNNNNNNNNNNNNNNNNNNNNNNNNNNNNNNNNNNNNNNNNNNNNGAUGAGAGAGACACGGGAAAUCUCACGUUCAUACAGGCCCAGUUUUUUUUGUACUUACACAUACAUGCCCAGUUCUACAUGGCGAGGGACAUAUAGAAUGGUGGACAAAGUCUCCGAAAUCACUAAUUGAGGAGUACUCCUCGCAAAGAUCACUCACACCUUCCAGGUUAUGACAAGUGGCCCACUGCAUGUGCGCCAUUUGUCGCAACCUGGGAGUUUUCUCUUUUUCAUACAUCCGUUUAUUCAAAACGUUGUAUCUCUUAAACCGUGCGUCUAAAUCUUGAACCGUUUUCACCGUUGGAUUCCUGACGUCGAGAUCUUCAAAACUAGAUCCCAUAUUGAUAGGUUUUGACAAACUUUUUUUCACAAAAAAAAAAACGAACGAAAAAACCGCACCGGGAGCACGGGUGUUUCCCUUUUUGAAAGAGGCACGGUCACGCCUCUCAUGAAAUCACAACCGUACCUCUCGUGGAAGUAAAACCGUGCCUCUCACAAAAGAAAAAUAAAAAAAUGUGUUUCUUUUCAUUUUCGAGAAGACACGGCCGUGCCUCUCACGAAAGCACAACCAUGCCUCUCGCGGAAGCAAAACCGUGCCCCUUGAGGAAGAAAAAAAACAGAAAAUGUGUUUUUUCUCAUUUCCGAGAGGCACGGUCGUGCCUCUCGUGGAAGCAAAACUGUGCCUCUGGCGGAAGAAAAAAAAAUAGAAAACGUUUUUUUUUCAUUUCCGAGUGGCAUAGCCGUGCCUCUCGCAAAAGCAAAAUCAUGCCUCUUGCAGAAGCAAAAAAAGAAAACGCGAUUUUUUGCACAAAAAUAUUUGUUUUUCGAAUUGUUUUUCCAAAAGCUAAGAAAUACUAGUGAAAAACCGAAACGUCAAGAAACCCCGGAAAAAAUGUUUAAAAAGUUGAAAUCGCGUGCGGAAAAAUAAAAAAAAUCCAGAGGGAGUGCCCAGAGCAUGGCACGUGGCGGGCGGCUGAGAGCGCGCCAAAUGACGCUGAUCGUUGUGAGGCUCCCGCAGGAGUGCUCGUGAACCAUUUUUUUUAGAAUUCCUUUCUUCAAUUUAGGGGAAUGGCCCAUCCACAUAAUAUAGGAGCAGGGAGCCCAUUGAAAAGGAUUUUUGUUCUGAAAAAUAAGCCCACAGUGGAGUUGACCUAACCCCACUCCACUGCCUCCCGUCAAGUCAAAAGAAGAAACCCCACUCCACACUCCUCCGCCUCCCGAAUUCGACCUCCCCCAGAAAAACCUCGUCCGUUACUCCUCCGCCUCCCUCCAAUGUCGUCCCCGCCGCCCAUGCCUGGAAGGGAGGAGAUCGCCGGCGCCAAGGCGCCGCGUCCGCUCGCUGCGGACACCACCGGCGCAGGGGGAGACGCCGGAGGUGUCGCCGAGGCAAGCCAAGCAGCGUCCGGCGGUGAGGCCAAAGCGACGCCGUCGCCAGCGACUAUCUGCCCUUGCUGCACGGAGCCGUGGACCAGCGACGGCCCUCAUCGCAUGUGGUGAGCGCACGAGGGCCUCCACCCCCACGGUCCUAGUGCAAUUCCGCUGCUGCUUCUUUUUUGCAGCGGACAAUUUCCGGCCGUGAUGUCGCGUCUGUGUAUUGCGGCCUAGGGUUCUAGGUUUUUCUGCAGGGGAUAUGGUCUUCCUUGUACCAUCACGUUGGAUUCCUUUUGGAUUUGGGGCUAUCAGCACAGUAUCGUCUGUGUUUUGCACUCGCUAAUUAGGUACCGAAGAAGAUCAGAUACGGCAUGAGAUCUGAUUUUCUGAGGUCCAUACACUGCUGCUAAUUAGAUACUGAAGAGGAUUGCAUCUUCUUUUUACAGUUCACUGUGUGCAAUGCUAUUCUUGGGCGAAAAGUUGCUCUGAUGGUGGAGUUCUUUCCAUUCUAUGCAUGAAAUUUAUUUAGCAGGCUAUAGCGCCGCAAUAGCCUUUUAGACGAGAUUUCACUACACUGACGUAAUUUCUACGGCUAUUCCAGCAACGACCGCAAAAGGGCUGAUAACCUCCGCUAAAUCCAUAGCAGUCCGGGAAGCUUAGCGCUGCUAUUUGAAAUUUUGCUUGCCAAAGCGCCAGAAAAGAAACCGCGCCAUUUUCCAUCACGCGGCAGUCCAAGACCUAAUCAGUAAACCAUCGUUUAAAUACCCUAGCCCUAGCCAGUCCACUCCCCCGGAUCAUCAAUUAAUCUGGUGUCUUAGAUGGCUUCUUUGUCGGAAGGUGCAACUUGCAACGAGGCCUCUAAUCAGACUCUGCCCUUCACUGAACACCGCACCACAAUAAAUAUUUAUGAGUUUGUGGAUCUAGGUUUCAUCUGAAAAUUCUUUGUUUAUGGUCCAUAUAUUUAUUUAUAUUUUCAAAAUCCAUUAAAUGUUUUAGCAUCCUUUAUAGCAUAUUAGUUUCUAUUUUUCAUAAUGCACUCUUGCUACACAUAUUAGAUGCACUCAUGCUACGUACAUAUGCAUGGCUUGUAUUCUAACUGUGAGACUAGUGACACUUUUGGAUCACUAAUCAUAACAUCUAUCUCUUAAAUGCAGUUGCAUUCGUUGUGGGCAUGUGUAUGGCAGAUCUUGUAUGGAGACGUUGCUGCGUCGUUCUGGCCAGAAUAGUGCCAAGGUACCACGAGUGGGUCUGCAUAUACUCAGUGAACAGAUUAUAUUAAAGAUGUAUAUCAAAUAUCUGAAUGGAAAUUCUCAACUUAUCCAUGACUGUUGAUAUUUCUAACCAGUGCCCGCAGUGUGGCAAACAAUUCGAGGAGAAGCUUAUUAUCAACCUCUAUGCACCAGAAAACAUGUUGGAGGGUUGCUGCAGUGCUGAGGUUCUAUUUCUUUCAUCCGAUGUACAUCUAUAGAUGUGUCGAGUUUGUCUUUAAGGACAUCCACUUUAGAUGUAGGAUGUUGGUUUAUGUUGAUUUAUAUAUAUGGUGAUAUUUUUCUUACAUCUUAUGAGAUAACCGGACCUUUUCGUUCAAUUCUCUAAGCAACAAUAGUAUCUUUUCAUAUUCAACACCCACUAAUAGCGAAAAAUCAUAGAAUUAAGAUACCGGGAAUGGAAACAAAUAAUUCACUAGAAUCAAUAGCAUCCAUUUCGCCCUAUUUCGCUCUCACAAUUUGGGUCUUGCAUGAGUACAAUUUAGCAACAAAAUGAUACCUCAUUCCAAUUUAUACCUUUACAUAUUAAAUAAACACAGAUAUUUGGUACUUUGAAAGUUUCUAUUAAUUUUAGAAUUUGCUGGUUAAUUCAAUAUCCGACGUAUUUAGCAAUUUAAUCUGAAUAUUUAGAUAAUAUAUUUCCAAAAAUAAAUUGAAACAUAACCUAUGUACUUCUGAAUAUGAGUUGUUUGGAAUUUCUAGUUAAUUAUCCAUGUGUAAAUAUCUAAAACAUAAUGUAAAAUCAUCAAUUUGGACCAAGUUCAGAAGUUGACCAUUAACGGCCAUUAAAUUUGAACAAUGGCCUAUCAAUCAAUUGCUCAGAUUUAAAAUUGCCUUAGCUUUAGUGUGGUAAGGUGGAGCGCUGCAAAAUCUUUUAGAACCUUUUCACAUUAUGCGCUAUUUUUUGUGGGUUUCCAAUAGUAGAAACAUUAGUUUUUUCUACCAUCACCCUAGUUAGUCUCAUUGCUGCUAAAACACGAGACGCCAAAUUUUUAUGUCGAUAACCCUUCUGAGAAAGCAAGGACACAUGAGGGGAGCCUUCAUAAUCUAGGGGAUCAACAAGUAGUUGUCACCUCAUCCCUGCCAUACGGCUUAGCGUGUAUCAGAUUUGAGUCGAAGAGGAAACAUAAUCUGCGAUGGAGAAGAAUCAGGCAUAUAUACAUGCCUUUUCUCAUACCAACUAAUUGGUUGUUGCAAAAGCAACCAUUGUUGUUAAGCCUGGUGGAAAACUACUAUAUCUUUAUUUUCCCAUAGAGUUGUAGCACUUGUGUCCUAUUAUGCUGGCCUGAAAUGAGAUGUCGAUCUAUUCAUCAUUAACAGUUUUUUUUCUGUUGAAUUUAUAUUCACUAAUCAAAUGACUCACUUAGGUUCAUCCUUUUCAUUCUGGAUGUCUUCCAAAACCAUCAUGAUAUUGCAUUUGAACAUGUUCACCCUUACUAGUUAGUACUCCCUCUGAAAGAAAUAUAAGAGCGUUUAGAUCACUACUUUAGUGAUCUAAACACUCUUAUAUUUAUUUAUGGAGGGAGUGCAUAGUAGUAAUCAUGUAUUAAAUUACUUUAUAUUAGGUCCCAUUGAAUUGGUAACCAGAAAUUGGAGAAAAUGUUAUAAACAUAUAAUCAACUGUAGCAGUGUCCACCUGAAGGUUUUUAUUAUAUAACUAGUAUCAUUGUUACUCCCUCCGUUCACUUUUGUAUGUCUUUUCAGACAACUCAAAAUAGGCUGUGUUGAUUACAUCUCAUAAAUUCUUCUUUUGUUCAAUUGACCUGAACUGCAGGAAAUUAAAGCGUUUUACGAACAUAUAUUUGUUGCAGUAAGGGCGACAUGUAUUGAGAUUCAACAAUGGUUUAGAGAACGGGUUGCUCAGAUGGAGAUAAUAGUGAACAAAAAGGUGACAAUGGCUAAGGCCAACGUGGUAUUAAUGAAGGAGCGAUUGAAGAAGAUGGCUGAACAAGAAAAGAUGGUGCCAAAGGAUAUGAUAGUGUUCAUGGAGCAGAAUUGCCCUCAGCUGAUGAUUUGUGUGUCGUGCGUGUUCUCAUCCUUACCAGCAUCUGGUAUGGAAGGCGGGGACGAGAUUGCCAAUGUUGAAAUUAUUGUCAGAGAGGGGCCAUGUCCCCAUGCUGUGGAAGCUAGUGAACGGGGUGGCAGAGGCAAUGAGUUAAAUCAUACUGUAUCUGGUUUGGGCGAGGAGAUCGACGGCUCAUACAGAGACAGUAGCUACUUUGGCGAAUAUAAUGCGAACAUCUCCAACAAAGAAGCAAAUAGGAUGCUGGUAAGUGCGAACAUGGAUGCUUCAGCUGAAGGGGGGAAAUGCAUUGAUGUCAAGGCACCAGCACGGCCAACCUGCUCUAUCUGCAUGGAGCCGUGGACCUCCACGGACGAGCAUCACAUCUGGUGAGGAAUAUGGUUUCCAUUGUUGGUCUUUUUGGGUACAUACUACUAAACUGACGUCUUAUUCCAAGAUAUUGUGCUGAAAGUGAGCCCCAUAUGUGCUAGCUCGCUGAAAUAACUUCAGUUAUGUCCUGCUGUGAUUAAUACCAUCUCCAUGUUGGGAUUCGAUAUUAUAUAUAUAUCCACCGUUUGGGGAUCAUUACAACUACUCCUAGUGGAUGCAGAUGAUUUUCUAACAUCAUGCACCAGCUUUAACAAUCCAUUGUUUCUGAUCCUUUUUUUAUCUCACUGAGAGGAAUAACGCUUUUGUUUUGAGUAAUGUUAAUAUUUAAGUGUAUGAUAGGUUAGAUAUAACGAUUGAAUUGGUAAUCAUGUUUCCUUUUCGCCAACAACUAGACAAUUGUUAUAGGCAUAGUUGCAAUCCAUUGUUGAAUUGUUACAGAUCAUGAAUUCAGUAUCCAUUUGACAUGAUUAAGUUAGGUGAUCACUGUAUAUGCAUAUUAGGAGGCUUUGGGUUCACGAUGCUGCGGAUGUGGCACCAUAUGAUCAUAUAGUGCAGGAGGGCAGUCUUUGUUGGACCUUUCAUGGUGCUUACUUCAUUUGGUGACCAGAUCAGCCAUUUUUCAUUUUACUUGUCUUGGGGUUACUAGAUUUUAUACAUGUAUCCAUACACGGGGUUGUGUUCUCUAGAUCAUCUCCCAUCUCCAACUUGCAGUUGUAUUCCUUGCGGGCAUGUCUACGGCAGGUCGUGCUUAAUAAGGUGGCUCAGGGAUCAGCUUUCAAGGAAUGAGAAUCUGAAGGUAACAUGCCGGAUUCUGUAUGUACUUCAUAUUGACUUACAUUCAUGAAUCAAAUCAUGGGAACCUAAGAUUUCUCUACUUAUGAAUGCAUAUUUAUCUUUCUAACCAGUGCCCUCAAUGUGCGGAAGAAUUCAAAGGCAAUCUUAUCGACCUCCAUGCACCAUUGUGUCAGGUUCUGAUUCUUUUAUCCGUUAUCCUUUCAUUGGGUGUUGCAUUGUGGACUAUUGCUUUCUCUGUUUUCUCCUAUAGUAGAAACAAUAGUUGUCUCUGUCACCAAUCCACAUCAGCUUAUAUUGUCUCUAAAUCGUUAACGACUGUCCCUCACACUCCAUGCUAUGUUGGUUGUUCGUUUGCCUAUACCCACAUCACUUAUAUCCCAACGCGUAUCUUAAAGAAAUACCUGUACUAAGAAUUGUAGAUGUGCUCAAGUUGUAUGUUCAAUGAUAGUUUAUAGUUGAGUCAUGAAAGUGUUCAGGUUAUACUUUCAAUACUUGGAUAUAGUAGGACGAUAUUGCUUUUCAGCUAUUUAUUAAAAUGUCAUUCCUUUUUGCCACCACCUUUGCUUUUGGGCCGUUACCAUCCUUCAAACCGGUUUACUGGCUCCACGUGUUAGUUUUUUUUGCCAAAAAGACAAACUUGUCUUUUCACUAUUGGUCUUCUCCCUAAUCUCAGAAGAUGUAAGAAGUUUCAAUGGAGUAAUGAAAUUUUGAUAAUUAGUCCUAAGUAUUGGCAUAAGCAGAAUUGCAGGUGCGACUAGUGGCAUUGACAUAAAAUUGCCGUACAUUAUUUUUCUUCUAAAUUUUGAGCACUUUAUUGUUAAUACGUAGUGAUGGGGGCUAUCAUUGUUGGCACUUCUGAUGUUAUGUUUACAUCCCCCAUUAUAAAACGACUCAACCUACCAACGUCAUAUAAAGCAUAGGAUUUUCAUCUGGUUGGUGAUGGACAUUAAGUAUUCAAGUGCUAUGCAGUUGUAUAAUUGGUGUAUAUAGAAGAUGUUUUCUUAUGCUGGAUGUGGAUUAUACAUAUCACAAGUUCUCAUCUCAAUUAACCUGCCGGUGCAGGAAGUACAUGAGUAUUAUGAAGCUAAGUUGGCUGAGUUUGAGGCAUCGAGGGAAGAAUGUAUGCUAUUUGCAAAAUAUCAUUAUCAGUAUGACCUGCUAAGUGCACAAGCGAAGUUUCGGGAUGAGCUGCGUGCACUAAUUAGACCUGAAAUUGCUGAGAUUGAAAGAGUGAUGAUGGAACACGUGGCAAAGGCUAACGGUAGCUUGGUGUUGAUGAAGGAGCAGAUGAAGAAGAUGGCUGAAGAAGACAUGGCGACAACGGAGCAUCUCAUUGGAUACUUGGAACAGACUUGCCAUUGCCCUUGUCUUUUUCCUACCCUACCCAAGCUACCCAUAUGACCCUGCUGAUCAAAGCUGAUGAAUGGUCAGCUUUGUACCACACAUUAUGUAUUUGUAGUUCAUCAUAUGUACUGUGAUGUACCAGGAGUCUGGUUUUACCUCAUCAUUUGCCAAGAACAUGGCAGCUGGCGCUAGCGUCAACAAGUCUUCCUGUGUGGAGAUGUGGUGUGAACACUAAGUGUGUUUCAGACAGUCGAAAAUAUGUGGUACUUGCUUCUUUCAAGGUAAACCAUUGGUCUGCUUAUUACCUCGGUCUUCUAUUUUUGAGUUGCUUGAUUUUAUUUAUAUAUAAAUUUCAGUCAAGCACACAACUAUAAUUGCGUACCACAAUGUCUAAAGUUCUGCCCCAUACUCAAAAUGCAGUUAGCAACAUGAUGUUACUUGCAUGUGCAGUGUGGUGGCUGAAGAAAGAGAAAGCAAUAUUUUUUCCCGACAAAGGAUAAUAUAUUAGUAUCAAGAUGAUACCAAUUCCAUCUCGCCGAGACAUUGAGGAUGCAUAUAGACAGAAAAAGAAAAUUAGAACAUAAAUAGAGUAGGUGACCAACGACACAGAACAAGCAAACAAGCAUCAACACCACCCAUCACCCUUGCCAACACAUGAACUACGAAACAAUUCUCCAACAGCAACACCUUCAAGAUGGAAAAGCAACAAGUCUAAUUUGUUCUUGAUUCAGAAGCUUAGGGCAACUCCAAUGGGGAGCACCAAAUAGAUGACACCAAAUGUCAGCAGACAUCUUGGGCGGGGUGUCGACAAUCCAGCGGUAGUCAUCAAAUUAGGAUAGUGCGUUAUGACUGACAGUGAGCUUGGUGGACUGAGAGGAAAAAGAGCCAAGCGCAACACAUCGGUUGCGGGUAGAUGUGGUCCAACUAACAUUGGGUCGGGAGGAUGCCCGGACGCCCCCAUACCUUCCACAAAUUUGGUGAUCAGUCCAGACAAAUUAGAUGCCUCCCAUCAGAUGACUUUAAGUUCCCGAACCAUCCAGUCCGAACAUUUGCGAGUGAUUUCAUGAGCCGUAUUGAAGUUUCCCUCAAAGUAUGUUCACUUAUUUCAAGUAUAACUAGAAAAUUUACACCAGAGCGUUUCUGAGGUGAAUCAGUUUGAAUUUGAUCAAUACAUUGCCUGUGAAGUAUGUGUUUGCACAUGCCCUAUAGAUCUACCCGUUGUGUACUAGAGAUUUGAAAACGAUAUUAAAAGAAAAAAAUGCUUCAUCAUAGUAAUCAUGAUGAGGCAACCAGUCUCGUGUAGCACCGGUCACUUCACACGCGUGUCGCCCCACCUACCCAGCUUAUGACACCUGGCCUACCGAACCCAAGCGGGAGCAGAAGAUUGCUUUAUCCCUUCUCGAUCUUUCGCAUACAUCCAUUUUUAUCUAGAGCGCCUUCUUUCCCAACUUUCCUCUCCGACGCUAGCAUCGGUGCAACUUUCUUACCGAGCACCUUCUUCCCCGCUCAAUCCCAUCCCACCUCGUACUCUAGCAAGUCCACUGCAGUGUCUUGAUUUCAUGUCCAUGCUCGCCCCCACCCUCGUCCUUCUCAUGGCCGACGAGCCGCCUCCUCACCUUUCCUGCCCACUUCGAGCGCAUCAGCAUGAACAUAUUCUACUGGCAUACAUACUCUGCAUAAUAAAGGCCUUACCAGCCGCAAUAUGCCUCGCCUCCUGGAUCUCCCGGCGAGCGUCCUGGGCAUCAGCCUGGGCUUCCUUCAGGCUCUCAUGGGCUUUGGUGAGCUCGGAAGCCUAUUCCGAGCUCGUCUACUCCAAGCACUUGCAUCUAGCAAUGGUGUCCUUGAGAUCUAUUUCAACCUCACCCACCCGCGCCUCAUGGCGUUGGCGGGUGGUCUUCUCCUCUUCUAAGCUUUCAGACGCCUUGUCUGCGGCCGCCUUACUUGCCUAUGCCUCCUUCUGGACUUCCGCAAGGGCGCUUUUGAGGGACUCGACCUCAUAGGCGCCAACUGUGGGCACAAUUAAAACAUUUUUAGUCUGUUUCAAAAUAUCAAAACAUCCACACUUGGAGAUAUAUACUCAAUGUAUGCAUACCUUGUAUCUCCUCAAACCGCUUAUUAAUGUGGACAACCUCUUCAUCGGCCAGCCGCAGCUUCCCAGUAAGUUCGGAAACUUCGGCAGAUUGGGCGCUCGCCGCCAGCAAGGAAGCCUGUUGUACAAUAGAGUGUCACCUCUCCCGAACACUAAGUGAUCCUCUGUCCGACUUAUUCAAAACCAGACAGAGUCUUAGGGGCUACUAUCUAUACACAAGCAUAUUUCCUUUAUUAAAAUUGGUUAGAAAAUUACAUUACAUACCUCAAAGCCUGUUAAUAGGCUGGUAGAGGCUUCGUUCAGCCUGCUUUUGGCGAACUGAAUCUUCUCAACCACCAUACCCAUCAGGGCAUGGUGCUCCUUCACGACGGAGGCGCAGCGAAGUGCUUCCGCCAAAGUAUCCGGCGCCUCCGUACUGAUGGAGGCCGCCGGUGGAGUCGACGUUCCCCCCUCCUUCAAAGGGGUCUCUUGCCUGAUUUCAGAAUCGUAUGGGUCUCCGGAACAGUGUUCGGCUGGGGGCCGGAUUGGUCAUGGCCUCCAUCACCAGUCUCCAUGGGGGUUGGCCCUCUCCUGUCUUCGGCAGCCGGGGUUUUACCCUCUGGCGCCGUCCUGACAGCCUCCUGCACCUCUCCAUGGCCUUGAGAGGCUCUUCGGGACAAGGCUUCGGUGUCAUCCGGAGCGGUAGGCGGGGAGGCCCGCGGAGGCGUCUCGCUCUCCACCAUCACUAGCUCUAGCGAAUUAACCGGUGACGAUAUUUGAGGGAGAUCACGUGCCGGACUAAAACACACAACACAACAUGUUAAAAACAAUAAUUAUAAACGCUGAUGUAUGUAAGGAUCUGGAGAUACUUACGAUUCAGCUAGGGGCUUCGACCUGGGGCAGUACUCGGGGAUGACUUCGGCAUCCGAAUCCGAGUCGUUCGUGAGGGAUACUCUCCCCCUUUUGGACGCCUCCGUUUCAGGGCCUACAGAAGCCGCCCUUUUCUUCCUCCCCCCUUAGGGGAAGAAUUUCUCUCUUCCUCCUCCUCCUUUUCGUCUUCAUCUCCCUCGUGGGAGGAGAGGGCUUCGGACUCCCCGGACAUAGUGUCCGAGGGACCUUUACUGCGAGGGCCGUUUUUGGCCUCCUUGCCCUUCUUCUUGGUCUUCUUCUCCGGCACCUGGUACGGUGCCGAAACCAGCAUCCUCGUCAGUAGAGGAUCAUCGGGGUUUUUGGGCAGCAGAGCCGGACACUUGAUCCGCUCCGCCUUCUUCAUCCAUCCCUGUUUUAAAUAUGAGAAUCUCAAUACAUCCCUGUGAUUUCCGAACCACUACUAGGAAAAGGCCUACUAAUGGCGCACCGGUUUUGCCUACUAAUGGCGCACUACCGGUGCGCCAUUAGUAGCACGCCACUAGAAUUUUUUACUAAUGGCGCACCAAGCAGUGCGCCAUUAGUAUGUAACACCAUGCGCCAUUAGUAUGCCUCCCGGGGGGCCAUAUGUAACCAUGUGCUUUAUCAUACUAAUGGCGCACUCUGCCUUGAUGCGCCAUUAGUAUCCUUUGGCAUACUAAUGGCGCACUCUGCCUUGAUGCGCCAUUAGUAUGAAUAUUUGGUUUUUGUUUUUUGCUUUUCUGAUUUUUGCACAGGUUACAAAAUAUAUUAUUGGACAGAAUAUAGACAGCAGCACACAGCAACAGCAGAUUCAUCGAAUACAAUAGAAGAUUAGUCUCCGAAUACAAUUCAUCAUAUUAGUCAUCGAAUUCAAAAGACUGAACAAAGAUAAAACAUUACAAGUGUCAAGACCGCGAGUAUCGAGUUUGUCUUCACAUUACAAGUCGAUAUCGAUCAUCUAAACUACCAUCACAUAAAAGAGAGUUGCGGUCAUCACGAUGAGCAUCAUCGCGAUCAAACUGGUCUUCAUCUGGUUCCUCCAACGCUCCCUCCUCUGUCCCGCUAGAUAGCGGGCGUAUCUAGAUUCGGCCUCCACCCUAGUGGUGUACCCUUUGUAAUUGUUACCGCUGAAACGGUGAACCUGUCUCCGACACUCCUCCCAGUCGUCGUAGACUCCGGCAACCUUACCCUUGUACACGACAUACGACGACAUCUCUAUGCACAAGCCAAACAACAGACAACAGAGAAUACAUAAGCAAUAUGUAAGUAUGCAACAAAAGGAUCGGAAGAGAAAAGCAAGACAUUAAUAGCACGAUUCAUGAUCCUACUAAUAAAUAGCAUCGAUUACAUCUAAGUUGAAUGACUGUCCAAACCAAAGAGACAUACGAAUUCAUUAAAGUUUAAUUACAACAUGAGCCAAUCAAUGUUUCAGAACUACACAUCAUUACUUUCGACUCGACUCAUCGGACAGGAGCGUGGAUGAAGCCGUCGUCUGUCGUGAUGGUCAUGAAAUCGCGGUCGUUGUCACCCUGCAUUUGUAGCAUUCCAUCUAUCUCAUUGUUGGAUGGUUGAUAUCUGAGGUAGAACUGCCCCGAGGUAUGAAGGACAUCUUGAUGGAUGAUGUCCGCAAACUCCGACUGGAUGCGAAAGAAUUCUUGUCUGAGGUCCGCGUCCUGGGUUGCCGACAACCUCGCAGCCCAAUCUUUGAGACUAUCUGGUAGCAGAAGUUGAUGAUGGUCCCUUACAAUCGCCCGCAUGUGAUGGAGGGCAUAGUAGGCAUCCUUCUGACCGCCAGGCGGCUGCUUGACGCAGCAGAAAUUCGUAUUGUGUGAGAAGGUGUGCUUGCCGUACUAACGAACUGCCCUGGUGAAGGUGCCUCCAGAUUUGGCAUAGCCGGGGAGAACAUCAUCAAGAACUUUCUUGACAUUUGUGUAGUCUAUCUUGGAGUUACAGUUCGGGUCGAAAUACGUGGCCAUGGAAUAUUUCGGGCUUAAGAGGAUGAGUGUGCAAUGUGUGUCACUGCACAGAACACGGAAUGUUCGAAAAAAAGAACGAUCGAAAUCUAAGAAAUCAUAUGUUACGGGGCGGUUAAGGGAUGACUUACUCGGGAAAGUAAGCCACAAGGAAGUUAUCCUUAUCUGUGUUUGCCAGAAUGACGCCUUCGAGGUGUGAACUUGCAACUUGGCGGUCCCCAACACUGCUCAAGUGCUUGGCAUGCAUGUAGAAGGGGUCGACUAUCACGAUGUCCGGGGUCUUGUCUCUAAUGAUCCGCAUCUCAAUACUCAGCGAAAAUAGCCGAACGAAGGUGUAGUGCAGCGGAUGAAGGUUAAACAUAGCAAAGAUGUCAUCAAACCGCAGGACGAUCGUACCCCCGAUGUCGCCAUCCACAAAGCCCUUGCCCUCUGGCACCUUGGCCACGAAAACCGGGUAUGCCACAUCAUUCUCUCUGAGACGCCGCUUCUCCAAAGAAAGAACACUGUCGUGCAGACUCCGCAUAGCACCGAUUGCAGCAUUCAGCAUAUUUGGCGGUAGCAUCGCCCUACCCGCCACAUGCACCCUCCUCGAGAUAUCCUUAGGUGGAGGUGGCCCGUCCUGAGCACGGAUCGAAUUCGGUGCCGGCUGGCUCGCACCGGCGCCCUUGUUAGUCUUUCGCUUCCGUCCCUUCUUCUUGAUCUCCUGUAAUGGGACCGAGUUCUGCUCACAGACCGCCUUCUUGAGCAUGUUGGGGCUGAUAAUAUUUUGCACCUCAGCUAUCUGAGGCUCGGUGAAGGCGGGAGCUGGAGGCGUGUCCUGAGAACUGAAUGCCAGACGACGCCUGUUGCAAUUGGAUUUCUCCGCCGUACCAGCUAGAUCACGAUCGUCUAGGUUGGGUUCUUGAGAAAGAGGCCCGCAGAACUCGUCAGCGUACCCAUGUUCGGCAAAGUACUUAUCAACUUUGGUAAAUGUCCCAUCAUCGUUGUCGUCGCCGUCCGGAUCCUGUGCCAUAGGGCUGUCCGGAUCCUGUGCCAUAGGGAUGUCCGGCAGGUCCGGUAGCGUUGCGGCGUUCUUGCCAUGGCUUGGCGCCGACACGACUGGCGGUCUUGUCUGUGGGGUGGUCUCCCCUGCCCCCAAACGAAUCUGGCUCUUCGGCCAAAGCAGGGGCCAGUUUACGCAGGCGCUGAGGGUCAUCUCAUCUUCUUCAUCGGCCCCAGCGGGUCGAAUCGGAGGUAACAGCUCGUCGCAGCCUGGCAGCACCCGAACCACUUCAACCCUAUACAUUAUGGGUGCCAUCGGAUUACCGUGGAACAUGCGGUUGCCCGGUUGAACGAUUCUGCCCUUGGCGACAUCGACCAACUCGGUGCCCACGAAGUGCAGAAGAGUGCAAGGAACAUCGACGGCACCCUGCGAAAACAUGUACAGGGCGUUAGGGAUGCCCAGUCAAAGGCAAGGAGAUGAAGUCAUCGGCCGAGAGGCUUAGUAACCGUGAUGCCGUUGAGCUCGGCUAAUGUCGAGGCACCGCCAAUGGUGGGCGUGCCACUGACGGAGGGGGCGCUUGCUGGCGAGGUGCCGGCCGGCGUACACCCAGGUGCAUUAAGCUCCAAUGCGUGUGCCGGCGCCGGAGACACGAAUACCGCCUCCGCCGGAGACACCAAUGGUGCCGCCGGAGACACCAAUGGCGCCGCCUGCGCGCUGUGCGAGUUGCUGGCCGUGAAGCUGGGAACCGGGGGAGGCCCCUGUUGGCCGCCCGCAAUCCACGUCGUCAGCCCAUGAAUCAACGUAGGCACCAUGGCGUUGAGCUUCGUUCCCAGUUGUUGUUCCACUUGCUCUUGGACAAGCUCCGGAAUCCGCGCCACUUGUGCCUUGAGUUCUUCAACCUCGCGUGUCUGGCUUUCCGAGCUGGUCUUUUUCUCCUUCCGCACACCAGCGGUAUAGUAUGACCCCCAUUUUGUGGACAAGCCUUUGCCGGCCACACGACCAGCUGACGUCGGCUUAGUGAGCUUAUCCUUGUUUUUCAUUAUGUUCAACGCCCUAUUUAAAGGGGUGUCGAAAGGGGAGCUCUAAGACGACCCCGCGCUACUGCUUUCAGUGUCCUGCGAAAGGAAUGUGAACCAUUUAGAAAUAUUGGGGAUUAAUUAGAGUGCAACCAUAUGGAGCUAAUUACGCGGGGGUGUAUUCCUUACCAGAACAAGCUCAAACGCCCUGGUCUUCGGAUCCGUGGUAAGCUCCUUUGUUAUCGGGUCCUCCUUGUACCGGGCCCUGACAUAGUUCAUGGUCUGCUUGCUACCGCUGUAUUUCUCGAAGCGGGGCGGUAGGCCUUGCUCGGCACGCUCCGCGUCCUCCUUGUCCCAUAUAGGCUCCGCCACUCCGUAAUCGCCGGGACCGAGUUUGUGUUCCCUAAGUUCAACUCCCGCUUUUCUUUCCCCCGCCUGACUUGAUUCGGAGGUUGCACUGCUCUCGCACUUGAUCUUGAACUCCUUGUACUCAUCUUCGCUCAUCAAAGGAUAUUUCGCCUUGAUCUUCUCAUAACUAUCACCUUUAUCAAUCAUUCUCUUCACCGCGCUUCUCCAAGUAGACAGGGCCGUGCUCAUCUUCGUGAGGGCGGCACUGUUCACUUUAUUCCCUGAGAGGCGUGUGUUUUCAAAUUCGGCGGGAAACUUGUAUCGUUCGCGCAGCUUCGUGAAGAGGAGGUUGCGCAAAUUCCCUUGGUCCUUAUGCCUAAGGUUCUCGGUGUUGAUCGAGACGGUGCUCCGUAGAAUGCACCCGAGCUGAACCGAGUACCCCUUGACUAUAUGUUUGGGCUCCGUUAGAUUCCCGUCGGAGUCCACUUGAGUGAAUUCCUCCUUGAGGGUGUGGAGCGCAUUCGGGUGCCGGUCCUUCCUUUGCUUCUUCGGUUGGCUGCCAUCUGUGUGUGCGCCGCCAUCAUCAGGGGUGGCAUGCUCGGCAGCACCAUCAGUGGUGUCAUCCCCGACGCCACUAGGGGUUGUGUAAUCAGGAUCGGUGUCUUCCGCGGCGUCCUCAUAGCGGUGAGGUUGUUCCUCCAUCUCCUGGGACAGCUCCCAGAAUUGCUUGCCGCCCGAACCACCGGCCUCAUCGUUGUGGGCCAUGUUUUGCUCUAAAUAGGAAAAAAAAUUGGUCAAAAAGUUGGUUAUUGUCAAGGAACAAGAUCAUGGUCUCAUCAUUUAGGGUUUGUCGACACCGAGGCACCCUAAAAGCCUAAGCUUUCAUCAUUUAGGGUUUGUCGACGCCGAGGCACCCUAAAAGCCUAAGCAUACAUCAUUUAGGUUCUCAUCGACACCGAGGCAUCCGGGGCAGCCAAGUUAAGUUUUCAUCAUUUAGGGUUUAUCGAUGCCGAAGCACCCUAGGCUGGGCCUAAUCACUUGGCACUAAUCACUUGGCUCUAUUGCCACCUAUGUUGGGUUUAUCAUCUAGGGUUUAUCGAUGCUAAGGAGAAUUCUAAGUUGGGCCUAAUCACUUGGCUCUAUUGCCACCUAUGGUUUAAUGCAGCAAGAAUAAAGGGGCAGUUGAUCCUACUUAAUUAAGUACUAAGAUACCCUGGCCCAUGCAUUAGUCGCAAGUACCCCAUAUGUCCUAUUUUUAGCAAAGUCAUGCUAAAAUUCACGGAAAAUUUCAGCAUGACCUUUGCUGAAAAUAGGACAUAUGGAGUACCCGAAUUUGCCGGAACGGAAGUUAAUCCACAUUCCGGCAAACUCAAGGGCCUCUCGGGGUACCUGCAAAUUCAUCACGACACGAUGGUCGGAGACAAAACCCAGCAAACUAGCACCACAAUGUGCCUCUACUUUCAUAUGGAUGAAAAGGCCACAGACCAUAUGGUCCUCUGCUUUCAUAUGGACAAAAAUCAGCUCAACUUAUGUGAGCUUCCAUUCCAGAUCUAAUAGAAGCAAGUUGUUCACCUGUAGCUGAACUUAUGUGAGCUGCCUUCAAGAAAAGAAAUCUGCAGUGGCACAUCUGCUCUCUGAAUACAUUGGCAAGAAACAAAACAACACCUAGUACCAUCCAUCUGCUAUGGCCGUAUCAUGCAGUUUAACUAAGCACUAACAGGUAAUUAUAUAACUGAAAACUUGGCGCGUACGUGUCACUUAGCUUGGGCAAGCAACAUACCUCGUCCUCUUGGUUAGUCCAAACAAGCUGUAUGAUGAGCCUCAACUCACCACCUGCACAUUUUAAAACACCCAUGAAAUGAAAAACUAAACAUAAUUGUCAACCAACAAAACCAAAACACAAACAUGACUUCAAAUUUUCACGAUCAGGAAGAAAAACAGGGUUUUCAACUACUAUAUUCAGUUUCAUGGCAUCAGUUGAACAGUUGAAAAAGAACAAGCUUCAUUUAAAUAUCUUGCUGCUAACAAACAUAACUAAUGUCAGUACUCAAAAAAUAGAGUGACCACACAGGGAACAAACAAACUAUUCACUUUUUAUUUCUUCAGAAUUGGACCAGACAGAGAACAACUCCUUGGAAGCAAACUGAAACCAUGCUGAAACUAUACUGAAACCAUGCUGAAACUUUACUGAAACUACUCCUUGCAAUCAAACUGAAACUACUCCUUGGAACCAAAUUGUCCUGGAAGGAGUAUUGUGUGCACAAAUCUACUCCAACUAGUUGCUUUCACUUAGAAAUUGUUAGCACAAACAGCAUGAGUCAUUCUUCAGACCGUUACAAAUAGAAACAAUGGCAACCAAGGUUAAAAACCAACAAUCCUAUAUAUUAUUCUGAAAUUUGAUAUAUUGAAAUCACUUAGCACUCUCUUUAUGUGUUCAUUCAACACAUAAAAUUGAGGAAAAUAAUACCAACUAGGAUCGGUAUGACCUUCGUUUUUCAUUUUCUGUAUGAUCAAUUAAAUCUUCUGCAAGCUUAUAUGAAAAGGUUCAGCAACUUGAAACGUAACUCUUGCUUGGUGUUCCAAAUCAUUUCAUUUAUAUUUUAAAUAACAGUAAGAAUUAUUUCAUAAUAGAAUUUACCCAAUGGGGGCGGCGGGUGCAUGCGACAGAGGGGGGAACGGGUGGGGGUGGAGGAGGCUCACCACUAUUGCAAACCAAACAAGUAAGCAGAGCACAUGUAUAUACCUGUAUCACUGUCUUGGAGCCAACAAACGCCUCAAUUUUUCUCCAACCGUGAUCGAACCUGUUACGCAGAAACACAAAUAGAGAGAUACAUGUAACUAACGAGGACAGACAGACAAGGUAACAAGAACUCCACAGCUCAAUUAAGCCUAUGCUUCUUCUUUCACUCUCCUGCAUAAAGUUAUUGUUACUACCUGGGAGGGAUUAUAUGCUUGUUUACCACUACUAAUACCAUUUUUUAAUAUAAUCUUCAUUCUCCUGCUUUUUCUUUUCUUACAAGUGUUGAUGCCAAAACAUUGCAACCCUGUAGUUCAAGAUCAGAGUCAAAAUUGACCUACAUGAUUGUUUACCACUACUAAGACAUGGAUCUAAUAGCUAUCUCCCCCCUUGUUCCUCAUGCCUUAGUUGCAUUCAGAGAAGAGAGAGCUCAGAUCCUAGAAUAGGGCCGGAUCUCUCUGGAAGAUAUGUGUUAACCAAUUUCGACCAGUAUAACCAACACAAAGCUCCUGCUCUCUCAAAUUGCAGAUAAAACAACUUAAUCUACAAUUUGCUAACAUGUUUAAACCAAAACAUUUGCUCAUAGGUCAUCAAGUUGUGCUCGGCGCCCUGUGACAAGGCAAAUAUGAGUUGUUCUUCCGCGGAAGAAUCCUCAUGUAAAGGGUACGACAGAAGCUUCUGCUUGAACCAACGCGUGAAACAUGAGUUGUGCUCUUUGAUUAUAUCUCCGUCUGUCCUCUGUUGGCCUCGGUCAUUAUACGUCUUCUCAAUAAAGGUUUUGCGCUCUACCACCCAAGGAUCGACCACGUCUAUGUGUUGUAGCGCGGCUAGGUUUGCUCUUUCAAAGUCGGCGAGUCAACCCUCGAAGUCGACAUGCAUUUCGCGGCGACCCUCACGGUGACCCCAUCCAGCGAGCCUGCCGAGGUGCCUGUUGACGGGCAUACCAACGGGGUUCUCGAUGCCUAGAUAAUUCGUGCAGUAGGAGAUGCACUCUUCAGUCAGAAAGCCCCUGGCUAUACUUCCCUCUGGAUGUGACAUGUUUCGAACGUAUCCUUUGAUGACACCAUUCAUCCUUUCGAACGGCAUCAUGCUGUGCAGGAACGUCGCCCGAGUUGGAUGAUAUCCUCCAUGAUAUGGACCAGCAGAUGCACCAUAACGUCGAAGAAUGCGGGCCGGAAGUACAUCUCAAGCUCGCAUAGUAUCACCACGAUCUCUUCCUGUAGCCUUCUGAGUUGCCUCACGCCAAUGGACUUCUGAGAGAUGACGUCGAAAAAGUUGCAUAGGCCAAAUAGCGUUUCACGGACGUGCGCGUCCAUGAUCCCAUGGAUUGCAACUGGAAGUAUCUGCGUCAUCAGCACAUGAUAGUCGUGAGACUUCAUCCCGCUGAACUUCUGCUUCGCUGGGUCUAGGUAUCUGCUUAUCUUCCCCGCGUAACCGUAAGGAAGUUUUACUCCUAGGAGGCAGGUGAAAAACUACUCGAUCUCCUCCUGACUUAGAGUGAAGCACGCGGGAGGGUAACCAUUUCCGGUCUUCUUGGCCUUUUUGCCUUUGCGAUGACUUUCUGUGUCCUGGUUCGCCUCAUCAUCAUCAUCAUCAUCAUCAUCAUCAUCAUCAUCAUCAUCAUUAGCGUGAAGCUCUUGCCUGAUGCCCAUUGAUUUCAAGUCUGCCCUUGCUUUCGGCCCAUCUUUGGUCCUCUCUGGCAUGUUGAGCAGGGUACCAAGCAGACUCUCGCACACGUUCUUCGUGGUAUGCAUGACAUCAAGGUUGUGAGGCACACGGUGGAUCUUCCAGUACGGCAAGUCCCAGAAAACAGACCUCGUUUUCCAUACCUUCAGCAGCGGCUCUGGCACCUUUCACUUCUUUCCUGGCUCUGGCGCCUUUUGCUUCUUUCCCGACAGUGGGCAGUCUUUCCAAUUUUUCAACAGCUCGUCUAUUUCCUCGCCGCUCCUCGUACACGGGCGUUUUCGGGGUUCGGUUUCACCAUCGAACAGAUCCUUGCGUUUCCUCCACGGGUCAUCGUCGCGAAGCCACCUUCGAUGUCCCAUGAACACGGUUUUCGAAGACCCAGGAUCUCUAUCUAGCUGGCGAUACAUUGUGUCAUCCAUACACCUUACGCAUCCAGAAAAUCCAUGGACUACCUGCCCCGCGAGAUAUCCGUAACCGAGAUAGUCGUGCACCGUCGUGAGCAGUGCGGCUCUCAUAGGGAAAUAUUCUUUCUCUGCGGCGUCCCACGUAUUGGCUGGCAUUUUCCACAGCAUGUCUAGCUCCUCCUUCAGCAGCCCCAGAUACAGAUUGAUGUCGUUCCCUGGUUGUUUCGGCCCUUCAAUUAGCAUACUCAUGUGAAUGUACUUCCUCUUCAUGCACAACUAGGGGGGAAGGUUGUACAUCCACACAAACAUAGGCCAGGUGCUAUGUGUGCUUCUCUGGCUGCCAAAGGGAUUGACUCCAUCGGUGCUCGCGCCCAGCACGAUGUUCCUUGGAUCCUUCCCAAAUUCUGGGUAUUCAAAGUUCAACGCAUGCCACUGGCUCGCAUCCUUAGGGUGACUCAGCAUCUUGUCUUUUUUAUUUAUCUCCGGAUCAUUUCCAUCAUCUUCCCGCUUCUUCUCCUCCCUAUCCGCGUGCCAACGCAGGAGCUUUGCUACCUUAGGGUCCGCGAAAUACCGCUGCAGACGAGGAGUGAUCAGAAAGUACCACACCGAUUUUCGAGGAGCUUUCUUCCUCUUCUUGUAUCGAGUGACGCCGCACACCGGACAUAUGGUAGACUCUGCGUGCUCGUCCCGAUAAAUGAUGCAAUUGUUCCUGCACACAUGGUAUUUCUCGUGCGGUAAAUCCAGAGGACACACGAUUUUCUUCGCCUCCUCGAAACUAGUCGGGCACUUGUUCCCCUUGGGAAGACGUUCGUGCCAGAAUGACAUGUUCUCGUCGAAGCAUGCGUCGGUCAUUUUGUGUUUUACCUUCAUCUCCAGAGCCAUGAGCGUUACUUUCAGGCGGGUAUCCUCGGGCCUGCAUCCUUCAUAUAAUGGAGUAACCGCGUCUAUCUCCAGUUGAUCCAGCUUGGCUUUCUCUCGGGCGGCAGCUCUUGCGUUAUCCGUCUGCUUGAGAAGCAGCUCUUGAAUAUGAGGGUCCUGCACCUAGCCUCCAUCGUCGUCUGCUCCGGCAUCUUCAUCUUCAUGAUCAUGCCCUUCGUCUUGAUCUUCCUCAUCAUCAUGUACGACAUCUUCUACAUGAUGACUGUGUACAGCAUCACCGCCGUGAUCAUGUCCUGGAGAUUCUUCGUCUUCUCGCCCGCCCUCACCGCGGUGGUACUUGUCUUGUUGCCCUUCCUCAUUUCUUGCCCGCCCCCAAUGGACGACUUCAUAGUCAUAUUCAUCACCUUGCCACCGAUAGCCAUCCAUGAAACCACGCAAGAGCAGGUGGUCCCACACCUGCCCGGAAUCCAGGUCCGCAAUAAGGCUCUUCAGCUUGCAUCUUCGACACGGACAUUUUAUCUCCGUCUCGUUCUUUUGAAGCAUCUCAGCCUUCGCGGAGCUCAAAAACCUAUUCACGAUGCCUUCGGUCAUCAUGCAGACCAUGGUGGCCUGCGGGGUAGAGCAAAACGAUAUUUUAGAACCAAGAAAAAAUUUGGCAUGACCUUCCCUAAAAAUAGGACCAAAAAGAAUGCAUAGUGCCAAAAUUCUCGCCAAAACGGAAAUGAAUCAACAUUCCGGCAAAAUAUUGGCAACUAUCGCAUUUCAAAUACCGUUACCUGCAAACACAAACAUAUAUGUAACACCACAAACACAUGCAACACCACAAACAUACAUAGAUCUAGCUAGGCCACAAAAAGUGCAUGUGCACGUUGUUGGAGCGAGCUAGGGAGAAAAAAAGUAGAUCUACAUCAUGAAGAUAGCUUUCCCCUUACUUACCUAUCAAAAAAAAGGUAAUUUCACCACUUAAUUUUGAUGAAUCUAGGGUGGAAAUGAGGUGAGGAGGAGGAUGCAGCCGAAAGCUUGGAGAAGGAGGUGGAGGGAAUGAAGUGGGGAAAGUGAGUGGGUAGGUAUGUGGCUGUCCAAAAUAUCUUGUUGGGGUCCCAGGUUACUAAUGGUGCACCACCAGCAAAUGCGCCAUUAGUAACCCUGCAGGUGGUGCGCCAUUAGUAGUUUUGUAUAAAAGUAAAAAAAAAGAAAAUAUAUAUACUAAUGACACACUGUGGAAAAGUGCGCCAUUAGUAGUAUAAACUAGUAAUGGCGCACUGUGACACGGUGCGCCAUUAGUAGUUUUGCAAAAAAGUAAAAAAAAUAUACUAAUGGCGCACUGCCUGCCAGGUGCGCCAUUACUAGUUAGAACUAGUAAUGGCGCACUUCGACCCGAUGCGCCAUUAGUAUGUAUGGAAAAUGGGAAAAAAAUUAAUACUACUGGCGCACCGAGUGUACGGUGCGUCAUUAGUGUCUUCCACACUAAUGGCGCAUCAACAACCGGUGCGCCAUUAGUAUAUAGUAGUGGCGCACUGCUUACCUGGUGCGCCAUUAGUAUCAAUCCUAUCUAUAGCCCUUUUCCUAGUAGUGGACUAAGUUAUGUACGGAAACUAAAGAACUUAUCAGAGUGGCUGGGUGAGCACAGUCGAGGCCGAUGUCGUCAGUCGUCUCCGGCCACGACUUCUGCUUCUGGGCCUUGAAAAGUAGCCUCUAGAUAUCUUCGUGCAUCAUGCCGAAGAAUCGCUACAAGGUCUGCGGCCCUUUCGGAUUGAAGUCCCACAUGUGGAGAGGCCGGUGUUGGCAGGGAAGGAUCCGGCGGAAUAGUAUCACCUAAACCAUGUCGGUGAGGUCGGUGUCCCUUUCUAUUAUGUUUUUGACGCGCUUUUGCAACAUCAACACCUCGUCUACUAGCCCCGAGUCCAUACCCUUGUUUAUCCAUGACGCUAGCCGCAUUGGGGGUCCGGAUCUAAACUUAGGAGUGGCUGUCUAGUUGGCGCUGUGAGGUUCGGUGAUGUAGAACCACUCCUGCUGCCAUAUCUUCACAGUUUCCACGAAAGCCCCUUUGGGCCAGGUGACAUUGGGAAGUUUGCUCGCCACCGCGCCUCCGCAGUCUGCGUGCUCCCCGUCCACCAUCUUUGGUUUCAAGUUGAAGGUCUUGAGCCAGAAGCCUAAGUGUGUGUGGGGGGGGAUGCGGAGGAGCGCCUCGCACAUGACGAUAAACGCCGAGAUGUGGAGGAAUGAGUUUGGGGCUAGAUCAUGGAAAUCUAGCCCGUAAUAGAACAUGAGGCCGCGGACAAAAGGGUGAAGUGGAAACCCUAGUCCGCGGAGGGAGUGGGGGAUAAAUACCACACUUUCGCCGGGCUCCUGGGUGGGGAUGACCUGCUUCUUGGCAGGGAUCCUGUACGCGAUGUCCGUACUCAGGUACCCCGCAUCCUGGAGCUCCUUGAUGUCCUUCUCCCUCACGAAGGAGGCUGCCCACUUGCCCUAAAAGCCGGAUCCGUACAUGACUGGAGAGGUUGGUGGCAGUGGGAAGUUUUGAGGCUCGGGCUCUAGAGCUCGGAGAUAGGGAGGCUGAGGAAGGAAGAAGGUGUGGGAUAGAAAAGAUGAAUCUUUACCCGUUUAUAUAAGCCGUAAAUACCAAACGCUCGCCUCCCUAGCCUUAAAACCUCGUCUGUUCCCGAUCUGGGUAUGCACCGCAGUCGGCUGGAUUACGCAAAUAUCAUUGAUAUGCAAUCCCGUAUUAAGUGGGUACGAACUCUGUUUUGACGGGACGUGCCAAUGAGGCGUGACCUCGAAACACGGAAUGCGGAGUGUGAAAACAGUUCAAAAUGCCAAAAGGUCAAGUCUGACGCUUCGCCGGAAAAGUUGUCAGUAAAAGACAUUGUUCUCAUUUUUUUAUAUAUCCUGCCUUCGUGGCUAAGGGUUCUGUUUAUUGCAAAAAGCCGGAUACAAUUCUUUUACAGAGGAAAAGUCGAUGUGUAUUCUUUAAAGAACCCGCCUUGCAAUGUCGAAGACAGUCCGAGCGCCGAAUAUAUCAUCAUUGAAGACUGGUUCAGGGGCUACUGUGUGAGUCCUGGAUUAGAGGGUCCUCGGGCGUCCGAUCUACUGAUGUGGGCCGAACUGAUGGGCCGUCAAUAUACAAGGCAAAAGAUCAUCUCUCGUGUUCGGUGGGGACUCUCACAUGCGUUGAUGGCAAGUAUAGGUGUCCGGAUAUAUUAUUCCUUUCUGUAUAACCGACUUUGUACAAACCCUAAGCCUUUCCGGUGUCUAUAUAAACCAGAGGGUUAGAUCGGAGGCAGGAUCAUAACAUUGCUAGGCUAGCUAUCUAGGGUUAGCCGAAUCAAUCUCGUGGUAGAUCAACUCUUGUAACCCCUAUACCCUCGAAUAUAAUCAAGCAGGAGUAGGGUUUUACCUCCAUUAAGAGGGCCCGAACCUGGGUAAACACUAUGCCCUUCUCCACCGUUACCAUUGAUCUUCAUACGCACAGCUUGGGCCCCCUACCCGAGAUCUGCCGGUUUUGACACCGACAAGACUCCCCACACAUGGCGCGCACCCUAGGCCGGUAGCCUCCUCCCCUCCUCCUUUAUAUACGGGGCGGGGGGCACCCCAAAGCACAUCAGUUAUUCUCUUUGCCGUGUGCGAUGCCCCCUCCACAGUUUACCACCUCGGUCAUAGCGUCGUAGUGCUCAGGUGAAGCCCUGCCUGAUCACAUCAUCAACACCGUCGCCUCGCCGUCGUGCUGACGGAACUCUCCCUCGACCCUCUAUUGGAUCAAGAGUUCGAGGGAUGUCAUCGAGCUGAACGUGUGCUGAACACGAAGGUGCCGUACGUACCUUCGGUACUUGGAUCGGUUGGAUCGUGAAGACGUUCGACUACAUCAACCGCGUUAACUAACGCUUCCGCUUUCAGUCUACGAGGGUACGUGGACACACUCUCCCCCUCUCAUUGCUAUGCAUCUCCUAGUUUGAUCUUGCGUGAUCAUAGGAUUUUUUUUGAAAUUGCAUGCUACGUUACCCAACAGAGGGAAUAUUUGUUUUGUCUUUAGCUCCUCGUUGGGUUCAACACUCUUAUUUAUAUAAGAAGGCUACAAACGAUCCCUUAUACUUGUGGGUUAUCAUUUUCUAACAGAAGCGUACUACAACAUGUUAAAAUCUAUAGAAAGAACUAACUAAAAAUAAUUAAAAACAACAAUUAAAGGACUAAAACAACUAUAUAAGCAAAACAAUACUGUUUUAAUUAAAAUUCUAAUUUAAAUUAUUCUAAAAAUAACAAAAUAAAUCUUACUGUGACAACAAUCUAACAUGUGACUAGGAGCAAUAAGAAUUAAAUUUAAAACUAUUUUAAACUCAAAUUAUUCACAAUCUAGGGUUUGGAGUAAAUUUGAAUAGUUUCAAAUUUGAAUCAUUCAAAUUUGAAAACUAAUGGCACAAACAGAAACUAGACAAAAUUUUGAAUCUAAUGCAAUAAGAAUCACUCAAAAACAUCAAAUAUCCUAAAAGAUAUAAGCAAUUUAAAAUAGAAACAAAAAACAAUUGAAAAAACAAAAAAAUAAACUUUCAGAACCCCUUUAGUCCUAGUUGGUGGCUCCAACCGGGACUAAAGUUAGACCAAAGCCACCAAUCGGGAGUAAAGGUUGGACCUUUAGUCCCGGUUGGAGACACCAACCGGGACUAAAUCCUCAACCCCUUUAGUCCCGGUUGGUGUCUCCAACGGGACUAAAGGUCUAAUCUUUAGUCCCGAUUGUGGACACCAACCGGGACUAAAGGGCAUCACACCCUUUAGUCUCGGUUGGUGUCUCCAACCGGGACUAAAGGUCUCAUUUGAACCAAGAUUGAUGCCUGCCCGACGCCCUAGACGCUCGAACCGGGACUAAUGCUCACAUUAGUCCUGGUUCGUAAUGCAACCGGGACUAAUAUGUAGAUCGAGCUUGGACCAAAGCCCUGUUUUCUACUAGUGAUCGGGACACUGCAGAUGAGCUUGGAUCAAGGUGGGAGGGCUUGAGCCAUGAUGCUUGGGGAGGGUUCCUUGGCGACAACGACAGAGUUGGGCUAGAUGAAUCCAGAUAAUGAACCAUGGGGGGGGGGGGAAUGUGGCAGUGACAAAGCCGAUGUAGUGAGUAGGCGGCGACGAGGGCGUGUGGUUGGAGGGGUCUGGGUCGGCUUAGAACGAAGAUGAGAGAGACACGGGAAAUCUCACGUUCAUACAGGCCCAGUUUUUUUUGUACUUACACAUACAUGCCCAGUUCUACAUGGCGAGGGACAUAUAGAAUGGUGGACAAAGUCUCCGAAAUCACUAAUUGAGGAGUACUCCUCGCAAAGAUCACUCAUACCUUUCAGGUUAUGACAAGUGGCCCACUGCAUGUGCGCCAUUUGUCGCAACCUGGGAGUUUUCUCUUUUUUAUACAUUCGUUUAUUCAAAACGUUGUAUCUCUUAAACCGUGCGUCUAAAUCUUGAACCGUUUUCACCGUUGGAUUCCUGACGUCGAGAUCUUCAAAACUAGAUCCCAUAUUGAUAGGUUUUGACAAAAAAAUUUCACAAAAAAAACGAACGAAAAAACCGCACCGGGAGCACGGGUGUUUCCCUUUUUGAAAGAGGCACGGUCACGCCUCUCAUGAAAUCACAACCGUGCCUCUCGUGGAAGCAAAACCGUGCCUCUCACGAAAGAAAAAUAAAAAAAAUGUGUUUCUUUUCAUUUUCGAGAAGACACGGCCGUGCCUCUCACGAAAGCACAACCAUGCCUCUCGCGGAAGCAAAACCGUGCCCCUUGAGGAAGAAAAAGAACAGAAAAUGUGUUUUUCUCAUUUCCGAGAGGCACGGUCGUGCCUCUCGUGGAAGCAAAACCGUGCCUCUGGCGGAAGAAAAAAAAAUAGAAAACUUUUUUUUUUCAUUUCCGAGUGGCAUAGCCGUGCCUCUCGCGAAAGCAAAAUCAUGCCUCUUGCAGAAGCAAAAAAAGAAAACGCGAUUUUUCGCACAAAAAUAUUUGUUUUUCGAAUUGUUUUUCCAAAAGCUAAGAAAUACUAGUGAAAAACCGAAACGUCAAGAAACCCCGGAAAAAAUGUUUAAAAAGUUGAAAUCGCGUGCGGAAAAAUAGAAAAAAUCAGGAGGGAGUGCCCAGAGCAUGGCACGUGGCGGGCGGCUGAGGGCGCGCCAAAUGACGCUGAUCGUUGUGAGGCUCCCGCAGGAGUGCUCGUGAACCAUUUUUUUUAGAAUUCCUUUCUUCAAUUUAGGGGAAUGGCCCAUCCACAUAAUAUAGGAGCAGGGAGCCCAUUGAAAAGGAUUUUUGUUCUGAAAAAUAAGCCCACAGUGGAGUUGACCUAACCCCACUCCACUGCCUCCCGUCAAGUCAAAAGAAGAAACCCCACUCCACACUCCUCCGCCUCCCGAAUUCGACCUCCCCCAGAAAAACCUCGUCCGUUACUCCUCCGCCUCCCUCCAAUGUCGUCCCCGCCGCCCAUGCCUGGAAGGGAGGAGAUCGCCGGCGCCAAGGCGCCGCGUCCGCUCGCUGCGGACACCACCGGCGCAGGGGGAGACGCCGGAGGUGUCGCCGAGGCAAGCCAAGCAGCGUCCGGCGGUGAGGCCAAAGCGACGCCGUCGCCAGCGACUAUCUGCCCUUGCUGCACGGAGCCGUGGACCAGCGACGGCCCUCAUCGCAUGUGGUGAGCGCACGAGGGCCUCCACCCCCACGGUCCUAGUGCAAUUCCGCUGCUGCUUCUUUUUUGCAGCGGACAAUUUCCGGCCGUGAUGUCGCGUCUGUGUAUUGCGGCCUAGGGUUCUAGGUUUUUCUGCAGGGGAUAUGGUCUUCCUUGUACCAUCACGUUGGAUUCCUUUUGGAUUUGGGGCUAUCAGCACAGUAUCGUCUGUGUUUUGCACUCGCUAAUUAGGUACCGAAGAAGAUCAGAUACGGCAUGAGAUCUGAUUUUCUGAGGUCCAUACACUGCUGCUAAUUAGAUACUGAAGAGGAUUGCAUCUUCUUUUUACAGUUCACUGUGUGCAAUGCUAUUCUUGGGCGAAAAGUUGCUCUGAUGGUGGAGUUCUUUCCAUUCUAUGCAUGAAAUUUAUUUAGCAGGCUAUAGCGCCGCAAUAGCCUUUUAGACGAGAUUUCACUACACUGACGUAAUUUCUACGGCUAUUCCAGCAACGACCGCAAAAGGGCUGAUAACCUCCGCUAAAUCCAUAGCAGUCCGGGAAGCUUAGCGCUGCUAUUUGAAAUUUUGCUUGCCAAAGCGCCAGAAAAGAAACCGCGCCAUUUUCCAUCACGCGGCAGUCCAAGACCUAAUCAGUAAACCAUCGUUUAAAUACCCUAGCCCUAGCCAGUCCACUCCCCCGGAUCAUCAAUUAAUCUGGUGUCUUAGAUGGCUUCUUCGUCGGAAGGUGCAACUUGCAACGAGGCCUCUAAUCAGACUCUGCCCUUCACUGAACACCGCACCACAAUAAAUAUUUAUGAGUUUGUGGAUCUAGGUUUCAUCUGAAAAUUCUUUGUUUAUGGUCCAUAUAUUUAUUUAUAUUUUCAAAAUCCAUUAAAUGUUUUAGCAUCCUUUAUAGCAUAUUAGUUUCUAUUUUUCAUAAUGCACUCUUGCUACACAUAUUAGAUGCACUCAUGCUACGUACAUAUGCAUGGCUUGUAUUCUAACUGUGAGACUAGUGACACUUUUGGAUCACUAAUCAUAACAUCUAUCUCUUAAAUGCAGUUGCAUUCCUUGUGGGCAUGUGUAUGGCAGAUCUUGUAUGGAGACGUUGCUGCGUCGUUCUGGCCAGAAUAGUGCCAAGGUACCACGAGUGGGUCUGCAUAUACUCAGUGAACAGAUUAUAUUAAAGAUGUAUAUCAAAUAUCUGAAUGGAAAUUCUCAACUUAUCCAUGACUGUUGAUAUUUCUAACCAGUGCCCGCAGUGUGGCAAACAAUUCGAGGAGAAGCUUAUUAUCAACCUCUAUGCACCAGAAAACAUGUUGGAGGGUUGCUGCAGUGCUGAGGUUCUAUUUCUUUCAUCCGAUGUACAUCUAUAGAUGUGUCGAGUUUGUCUUUAAGGACAUCCACUUUAGAUGUAGGAUGUUGGUUUAUGUUGAUUUAUAUAUAGGCUGACAUUUUUCUUACCUUUUAGGAGAUAACCGGACCUUUUGAUUCAAUUCAAUAAGCAAUAAUAGUAUCUUUUAGUAUUCAACCCCCACUAAUAGCGAAAAGUUACAUAGAAUUAAGAUAUUGGGCAUGGAAACAAAUAAUUCACUAGAAUUAAUAGCAUCCAUUUCCCGCUAUUUCUUUCUCACAAUUUUUGCAUGAGUAGAACUUGGCAACACAAUGAUACCUCAUUCCAAUUUAAACUUUGCAUGUUAAAUAAACACAGGUAUUUUGUACUUUUGUAGUUAAUUUAAUUUUAGAAUUUGUUGGUUAAUUCAAUAUCCUUCUUAUUUUGCAAUUUAAUCUGGAUAUUUAGAUAAGUUCAGAAGUUGACUAUUAAGGGACACUAAAUUUUAACGAAGGCCUAUCAAUCAAUAGCUCAGAUUUUAAUAUUGCCUUAGCUUUAGUGUGGUAAGGUGGAGCCCUGCAACAUCUCUUAGAACCUUUUCACAUUAUGCGCUAUCUUUUGUGUGUUUCCAAUAGUAGAAACACUAGUUUUUUCUACCAUGGUUAUUAGUCUCAUUGCUACUAGACCGACAAGAAAACAAACAAAAAUUGGUUAUNNNNNNNNNNNNNNNNNNNNNNNNNNNNNNNNNNNNNNNNNNNNNNNNNNNNNNNNNNNNNNNNNNNNNNNNNNNNNNNNNNNNNNNNNNNNNNNNNNNNNNNNNNNNNNNNNNNNNNNNNNNNNNNNNNNNNNNNNNNNNNNNNNNNNNNNNNNNNNNNNNNNNNNNNNNNNNNNNNNNNNNNNNNNNNNNNNNNNNNNNNNNNNNNNNNNNNNNNNNNNNNNNNNNNNNNNNNNNNNNNNNNNNNNNNNNNNNNNNNNNNNNNNNNNNNNNNNNNNNNNNNNNNNNNNNNNNNNNNNNNNNNNNNNNNNNNNNNNNNNNNNNNNNNNNNNNNNNNNNNNNNNNNNNNNNNNNNNNNNNNNNNNNNNNNNNNNNNNNNNNNNNNNNNNNNNNNNNNNUCCCUAAAAAUAAUUCUUCAGUAAUUCAUCAACAUAGCUCCGCCACUGAGUGUGUGACACCAAAUUUUAAUGUUGAUAACCCUUCUGAGAAAAACAAGGAUGCAUGACAGCAGCCUUCAUAAUCUAGGGGAUCAACAAUUAGCUGUCACCUCAUCCUGUCCGUAUGGCUUACAAUAGGUAGCGUAUAUCAGAUUUGAGUCAAAGCGGAAAGCUAAUCUGUGAUGGAGAAGAAUCAGGCCUACAUGCCUUUUUCUCAUAUAGUCCAGUCUCUCACUUUGAGUUCAGAUUAUAUAUGAAGACUUUUGACCUAAACAUCAUUCAGUUCCUCUUCAGGAUAAAAUCAUGUUGGAGAAGUUGUGGAGUUUUCUCUAUUUUUUUAAUUAAUACAUGUAUAUAUACAGUCUACCUGUAAGCAAGGGUGGAUUUUACCAGUUGCAAGUGGGCACAGUUGUACCAACAAAUUGGUUAUUGCAAAAGCAACUAGUGUUGUUAAGCCUGGUCAAAAACUAUUAUAUUUUUAUUUGCCCAUAGAGUUGUAGCACUUCUGUCCUUAUGCUGGCCUCAAAUGACAUGUCGAUCUAUUCGUCAUUCACAAUUUGUUCUCUGUUGAAUUUAAUUCACUAACAGAGUGAAGAACUUAGGUUCAUCCUUUUCAUUCUGGAUGUCGUCUAAAACCAUCCUUAUACACGAUAUUGCAUUUCAACAUGUUCAUCCUUACUAGUUAGUACAUAGCAGUAAUCACGUAUUAAAUUACUUUAUAUUAGGUCCUAUUGAAUUGCUAACCAGACAUUCGAGAAAAUGUUAUAAACCCAUAAUCAACUGUAGCAGUAUCCACCUCAAGGUUUUUAUUAUUAUAACUAGUAUCGUUGUUAGGAGGUUUCUUUAGUUGUAAUGUUGAUUACAUCUCAUAAAUUCUUCGUUUGCUCAAUUGACCUGAACUGCAGGAAAUUAAUGCGUUCUACGAGCAUAUAUUUGUUGCAGUAAGGGCAACGUGUAUUGAUAUUCAACAAUGGUUUAGAGAACGCGUUGCUCAGAUGGAGAGAAUAGUGAACAAAAAGGUGACAAUGGCUAAGGCCAACUUGAUGUUAAUGAAGGACCGGUUGAAGAAGAUGGCUGAACAAGAGAAGAUCGUGCCGAAGGAUAUGAUAGUGUUCAUGGAGCAGAAUUGCCCUCAGCUGAUGAUUUGUGUGUCGUGCGUGUUCUCGUCAUUACCCGCACCAGGUAUGGUAGGCGGGGACGAGGUUGCCAAUGUCGAAAUAGUGGUCAGAGAGGGGCCAUGUCCGCAUACUGUGGAAGCCAGUGAAUGGGGUGGCAGAGGCAACGAGUUAAAUCAUACUGCAUCUGGUUCGGGCGAGGAGACCGACGACUCAUACAGAGGCAGUAUCUACUUGGGCGAAUAUAAUGCGAACAUCUCCAACAUGGAGGCUUCUGCUGAAGGGAGGGAAGGCGUUGAGGCCAAGGCACCAGCAAGGCCAACCUGCUCUAUCUGUCUGGAACCCUGGACCUCCACGGGCAAGCAUCACAUCUGGUGAGGAAUAUGGUUUCGACUGUUGAUUUUUUGGGGUACAUACUACUUAACUGGCGCUUUAUUCCAUGAUAUUGUGAUAAAAGUGCGCCCUAUAUGCUAGCCCACUGAAAUAACUUCAGUUAUGUCCUGCUUUGAUUAAUACCAUCUCCAUGAUGGGAUUGGAAUUUUAUCAUGAUAAUAUAUGCAGUAGCCACCGCUUGGGGAACAUUACAACUACUCCUAGUGGAUGCAGUUGUUUUUUUAAUAUCAUGCACCAGCUUUUACAAUCCGUUGUUUCUGAUCUUUUUUUUUUCUCACCGAGAGGAACAAUGCUUGGUUUUGAGUAAUGUUAAGAUUUAAGUUUAUGAUAGGUUAACUAUGGCGAUUGAAUUAGUACUAAUGUUUCCUUCUCGCCAUCAACUUAACAAUUUUUAUAGUUGCAAUUUUGGAUUAAUGUCUUACCUCUAGUUGAAUUAUUACAGAUCAUGAGUUCAUUAUCCAUUUGACACGAUUGAGUUAGGUGAUCACUGUGUAUGCAUUUUAGGCUGGUUUGGGUUGAGGGUGCUGACGAUGUGGCACCAAAUGAUCAUAUAGUGUAGGAGGGCAGUCUUUGUUGGAUCUUUCAUGGUGCUUACUGCAUUUGGUGACCAGAUCAGCCAUUUUUCAUUUUACUUGUCUUGGGGUUACUAUAUUUUAUACAUGUAUCCAUACAUGCGAUUGUGUUCUCUAGAUCAUCUCCCAUCUCCAACUUGCAGUUGCAUUCCUUGCGGGCACGUCUACGGCAGGUCGUGCCUAACAAGGUGGCUCAUGGAUCAGCUUUCAAGGAAUGAGAAUAUGAAGGUAACAUGCCAGAUUCUAAUGUACUUCAUAUUAACUUACAUUCAAGAAUCAAAUUACGGGAACCUGAGAUUUCGCUACUUAUGAAUGCAUAUUUAUCUUUCUAACCAGUGCCCUCAAUGUGCGGAAGAAUUCGAAGGCAAUCUUAUCGACCUCCAUGCACCAUUUUGUCAGGUUCUGAUUCUUUUGUCCAUUGUAAUUUCAUUGGGUGCUGCAUUGUGGACUAUUGUUUUCUUUGUUUUCUCCUAUAGUAGAAACAAUAGUUGUCUCUACCACCAGUCCACAUCAGUUUCUUUUGUCUCUAAAUCAUUAACGGCUGCCUGUCACACUCCAUGAUAUGUUGGUUGUUCGUUUGCCUAUACCCACAUCACUUGUAUCCCAAUGCAUAUCUUAAAGAAAUACCUGCACUCAGAAUUAUAGAUGUGCUCAAGUUGUAUGUUCAAUGAUAUGCUUCUAGUUGAGACAUGAAAGUGUUCAGGUUAUUCUUUCAAUACUUGGAUAUAGUAGGACGAUGUCUUACAACAAAAGUUUUUUGUCUGUAUUUUAAACGUAAUUUAUAACUAGACAUUAGGAGUGUUAUAUUACGGGAAAUUUAUGUCAAUGUCAGUAAUCUCGUGCAAUUCUCACUAUGACGUUGCUUUUCAGCUAUUUAUGAAAAUGCCAUUCCUUUUUGCCACCGCCUUUGCUUUUGGGCCGUUACCAUCGUUCAAACCGGUUUACUGGCCCCACGUGUUAGUAUUUUUUUUGCCAAAAAGACAAACUUCUCUUUUCAUUAUCGGUCUUUUCCGUAAUCUUGGAAGAUGUAAGUUUCACUGGAGUAAUGACAUUUUGAUAAUUAGAUCAAAGUAUUGGCAUAAGUAGAAUUGCAGGAGCGACUAGUGGCAUUGACAUAAAAUUGCCAUACAUUAAAAAAAAUUCUUCUUCUAAAUUUUAAGCACAUUAUUGUUAAUACGUAGUGAUGGAAACUAUCAUUGUUGGGACUUCUUAUGUUAUGUUUGCAUUCCCCAUUCUAAAAUGACUCAACCUACCAACGUCCUAUGGACCACUGGAUUUUCAACCGGUUGGUGAUGGGACAUUAAGAAUUCAAGUGCGAUGUUCAGUUGUAUAAUCGGGUGUAUAUAGAAGAGGUUUCUUUUGCUGGAUGUGGAUUAUACAUCACAAGUUCUCAUCUCAAUUAACCUGCUGGUGCAGGAAGUGCAUGAGUAUUAUGAUGCUAAGUUGGCCGAGUUUGAGGCAUCGAGGGAAGAAUGUAAUGUAUUUGCAGAAUUGCAUUCUCAGUAUGAUCUGCUGAGUGCACAAGCGAAGUUUCGGGAUGAGCUGCGUGCACUAAUUAUCCUUGAAAUUGCUGAGAUUGAAAGAGCGAUGAUGGAACACGUGGCAAAGGCUAACGGUAGCUUGCUGUUGAUGAAAGAGCAGAUGAAGAAGAUGGCUGAAGAAGACAUGGCGACAACUGAGCAUCU